rnacentral:lncRNA from 1 species
UUUUUUAUUUCUAGUGUUUUUCAAAAAAGAAGCAGAAUGCUUCUUCUUCCUUGCUCCCUCUCCAUUUUUGCUAGGAGUUCAACCUAGCUUGCGUCUCCCUGGAGGAUCAUCGGUGCCACGCACCUCCACCCCAUCACCGGUUCAUGGAUCAAGACCGGGUAAAAUGGAAAAUAGUACUUAAAUAUUAAUUAUAAAUUUUUCUCAAGUUUCUGAUUUCAAGUGUAGAGUUUAUGGUAUAGGAUUUAGGUUUAUUUCAAGUUUUGAGUUUAAUGUUUGAAUUUAAGAUUUAUUGUUUAUAUCAAGUUUUCGAUUUUAAGUUUAGAUUUUAUGUUUAAAUAAAAUUAUUAAUAUUUAUUUAUAAGUCAUUCAUUAUAUUAUAUUUCAUCAUUGAUGAGGUGUUAUGUUAUUAUUUAAUAACGAUGCAUGAAAUUCAUAAAUUGUUAAUGCAUUAAAUAUUCCUCCUUUUAAAUAUGUAUCACGUUAGAUUUGAACGGUUACUUAAAUGCUUAAAUCUAAUAUAUCUAUUCUAUAACAAAAUUUUCUUACAUAUAUGAUUAGUUUUAGUUCUAGAGUACCAAUUGCCAUGUGAGACCAAUGAAAUGUUGAUAAUUGUUAGUUUAGCAAUACUUCUAAUAAGUACUUUUGGAGCAAAAAUCAUUUUUGAAAAAAAGUUCAAAUUUUCCGUUUUUGUGCUUGACCAGUUUUUGACAUUUGAAAAUUAUUUUUUUUUUUGCUCAAAAGCAUCUUAUAUCUCAAAAGUGCUUUUUGUCUCAAAAGCAUUUCUUAAAAGUAUUACUAAACAAGAAAAUUAUUUUACACUUUAUUAGGAUUUUAGUAAGAGAUUCCAAACAACGUCAAUGACCUAAUUUGCGCAAAUAUGCAAGCAAGAAUUAUGAAAUCACAGUAAAUAUGUUUUAAAAAUUAAAAUACAAUUUACGAAAUAAUUGCAAUUGGAACUUUAUUUUCCAUAAAUUAAAACCAAAUGUGAAUUUUUAAAAAUAAUUUUGACUAUUGAAUUCAAUUCUAUCAAUUUCUUUUGGAAUUUAAUUUAAUAGUAUUAAUUAAAGAGAUAUAACAAAUGGAAACAAAUAAAAAUUAUUUUAAUAUCAAUUGCCAAAAAUUUGGGGAUUAACUAUUAAGAUUGCCCCCUUUCUUUUUCGAUAUAUUUCUUGCAAAAGUUUUAAUUUAGUGUUUAUAUCUAUAGAGCGUGCCUCACAUUUUGAACGAAAAUAGGAUCAAUGUCAUUACGGGAAAGAGCUGACGUCCCUACGAGGCAAUACAUGAUGUCACGACGUGACGACGUGUUCCUUCCUUAACUAGAUUUAAACUCUGAUUAUUUUUUCCAGUCGAAUUUUGAUUUAUCCAAUACUCUUUAGCCAUAUUUGACCUCCGAAUUUGGCUUAUAAGAAGGCCUUAGUAACUCUAGAAAGGUUAAUGAAAAAUACAACAUAACACAAUUAAGAAAUAGCUUUAUCAGAACUUUAAGAGAAAUUUGUCUUUUAGUCGAAUGGCUUUAUAUUCGGGGUUCAGGGUUUGUUUUUAUUAUCUUCAUCUUGUACUUUUUAGAUUUUUUUCUCAUUAGUGAAGUCUUUAUUUCCUGUGGUUUUUUUAUCUUUUUAAUUGAAAGUUUUCCACGUAAACUUUGUGUGCUUGAUCUUUUUUUAUCUUUUUUAUUUUAUUGUUUAUACAGGUCGAUCCUCAACAAUGUCUUAUGAAAAACUAAAAAAAAAAAAAUUUGAAAGUCGAAAACAAAACUUAAAGAAUUUGAUGACAACGAUACCCUUGAUUUUAGCUCUACUCACGUAAUAGAUGCACGGAUGGGGUGAAAUUUAUUAAAAUCAAUUUAACUAAGCUAUUAAUUUUCAAAUUUGAAAGAUCAAUCGACUUGCGUCGAAUUUUUGAAUAGGAUUUUGGCAUUUUUGGAUUGAUAUGUCUGCAUAGCGUUUGAAAAGUUAUCUCUUAGCAUUGAAACGCACUUGGAAUCACUCAAUUUUGAAUUCAGGAGCUCAAAUUUUGACCGUUUUAGUAAAGAUUGUGCGAGCAGAAAUUUUGGAAGAGAUUAUUACGGGAAAUUAUGAGUUUUAGAUUUUAGUUCGAGUUUAUUGUUCUUGUCUUCUAAUUUGAAUUUUUGAAUUUAAUAAAGAAAGAGUUUAAAUUUUUGAAAGAUUCGAUUCGUUAGAAUCCAAUCCAAGAACAAAGAUUAUUAGUAAAAAUAAAAUUUUUGAGAGAUAUAGAAAGAUGCAAAACUCUAUAUUUCUAUUUUAUUUUUCUCUAUUUAAAUUAUAUAUUCAUAAGCAAUAGAGGAAGAUAAAAUUCGUUUUAUUUGUCUCUUGAAAUUUGAAUUUCAUUUAACAGAAAGAAAAAUUCGCUUUUUAUCUUUUGCAAGAGGUUUACUCACAAUAAUAUCGGAUAAUAAUAAUUAUCCACAUAAUUUUUUUGACAAUUCCAUUUGUUGGUUUUCUUUUUUGUUAUAUAUGAGAUUAAUAUUGUAUUUAUUAGACUUAAUUAUUUUAUUAUUUAUUUAUUUCAAAAUUUAUUAUUUUAUUGGUUUAAAUUUGUUGGCUUAAUUUUUAUUUUUUUAUUAUAUAAUACACCAUUAAAUUAUGUAUUUCAAAUGAGUUUAUUUUAUUCUUUUUCAUUUAAUCAUAUAGUAUAUCUUUUGAUUGAUAAGAAGAUUGGCGGUUAGCAAAUAAUUUUUUUUGAAUAAUCUUAUUAUAAGUUUUGAUUAUAUAUAUUUUUUACACAAUACUAACCCCUACUUAACUUAUAAAUAGGAGGAUAACACGCUUCAAUGCACUCGAACCUACAUCCUCUUGCAAUGGCAACAAUAUUCAUGCUAAUCGAACUAAUACUCAAUCGACACGAUCAACAAAUAAAUAAAUAAAUUGAAAUAAUAAAACAAUAAAUACAAUAUUUCAUGACUUACCCUUGGAUUUCUUUUUCAAAACAAUAAAAAAAUAAUAGUAUCAACAAUUAAAGAAAUAAUAUAGCAAAUACCAUUUAUAUCAAUUUUGAUAAUAAGCCAGCCAUUAGGUACAAAUCUUUUAUACGAGAAGUCAUGACUACAAAAAUUGAAAGAAAAAUGUUUUAUUGGUAAAUUUAUUUUUCAUGUUAUUUUAAGAUUUUUUUAUGUUAAUCAUUUUAUGUAUUUUAAUAAUAUUUUAUAUUUUAUAAUUUAAAGUGUUAGGAUGGUUGCCACUAUCAGUCCAAAAUUCAUUUGUCGGCCCAAGCCUACAAGGCUACAGAUUGAGCUCGUAUGAUGGGAUCGCAGACUGAGCCCGCUCACUAAGCCUACUCCCCUACAAAGUUAUGCGAGCAUGAGAACGCGUAACGCAUGCUAAAUCUGGAGUAGGGUACGUGUUUGUAUGCAUGGUGUAACACCACAAACCUGGCCUAGCCGUUAUGGCCGAAUCUGGCAAUGUCACAUGAUAGCGUUUGAAACUAAGUUGUUACGAUAAAAUAAUUUUCAUUUAUUUACUCUUGUUGUCUCCAAAAUUGUUACUUAUUUAGUCAAUCAUUUUAACACAUUUCGUUGCGGAAGCUUUUAAAAGUCAUUUUGUGUAAAUCGUGUGCUUAGAGAAAACUUUACCUUUUUAAAAUCGAGUUUUUAAACGCCUAGCAGUUAUAAAUACAUAAAAAUAAGUAACCUAAUUUAAGCAAAAGUCCCAGAAAGUCCACAAUUUACAUCUAAAAUUAACCUAGAAAAUACUUAAGAAUUAAAUACCAAAAUUGAAGUAAAAUGGUUUAUAAUAUGUGUGGCCAACAUCGAGUCCUCCGGUGCACUGAUCCGUCAAGUCUGGGGAUUACCUGUGCCCAUUUAAACAAAAGGGUAAGUUUACGAAAACUCAGUGUGUAAUCCUUAUAUAGAACAAGCAGACAUCAUGCAGUUACAGUCUGGGCUUAAGCCCUUUCAGUACAGAAGCUGUUAUGCAUUAGGGCCUUGGCCCAUUACAGAAUCGGUAAUCAGUACAGUGUCAGAUAUACAGUCACAAAAUCCUACCCAGCCAGCCUCUACACACCAUUUCCAUCCUACCCUACAUUCUAUGUGGGGAUAUAAUCAACCCACCCAUCCCUACACACCAAAAAGUACCAAAUGCAGCCCUAAACAGUGAUUUGCAGCUGAGCUGCCAAUAAAUUAGGCCGAGGCCUUUCAGUACACUUUUUUCGAACAAUAUCAAUCCCCCAUCCCAAUGGAAUGCAACAUACAGUAAUGACAUGCUAUAUCAUGGCAACAGUGCAUACAAUAUCAAUUCAUUAAAUACCAUCAUGCUCAAUAACAUGCAAAUAUAUAUACAUAAUAGUCAUACAGUCAUUUCAGUCAAAUAAAGGUCUAAAUAGUGCUUACUGACCCUAUAGUAGGUUCACAGUCGACUUGGGCGACCUGUGCAACCUUAGCAAAUAUUUCAGUAAAAUGGGCUUACACAUCCAUGUGGCUUUGUAACUCCCAACAAUCAAGGGUUACUAGAAUCGGGUUUGGGAAUCGAGGGAGAGUGGUCAUGGCUUAAUUUUUAAGAUUAUUUAUGCAUUUUUAAGAAUUAAAUGAGGUAUUGGUUUGUUGGUCAAGUGUUAGUGAAAUGUUCCUUGAAACCCAAGUUCAAAUCCUUUCUCUCUCACAAUUUUUAUUAUUUUGCAAAUUUUGCCUUAAACCCUAGUAUGUGACUUGCCUUGUUUUUAAACCCUAGUAUGUUCCUUGAAACCCAAGUUCAAACCUCUUCCUCUCCUCUUUUCUCUUCAAUUUUCUUUCUUUCUCCCAUUGUUGUCGUCACAUACACCUAGUUUUACCAUCUCUUUCUUCUUUUUCUUUUUGCCACAAGAUUUGUUAACAUAUUUUCCACCAUAUUACUGCCAUUUUUCCUCAUUAAAAUCAGCCCCAGAUAUGAAAUCUUGAACUCCAAGAUUGAUCCCGAACAUUGCCAAGAAAGUGCCAUUGCUGUUUCUCUCGACUAGCUUGGGUAAGGUCUCUUCUCUCUUAAAUUUCUUAAUUAAUCUUAUCCAUUAAAAACCUAAAUUUACAGAUCUGGAAUUUGGGGGAUUUUAAAUUAUUUCAAAGGUAUUUUUCCAGGUUUUAUUGAGAACUCAAACCAUUUUAAAAUUCAGCCCUAAUUUUGGCCACCGUGAGUGGUGGUGCGUACACCUAUGGGCAAGAAAAGGGGUUGUUUUGUUUCUUGGUUCUUGCCUAUAUUUUUCCAGAAUCAAUUUGAGGUCUUAAACCCUCCUAAUCAACUUUUAAACCCAUUUCAAUUGGUAAAAAUUUUCUUGAUCGAUUGGCCAUUCAGAUCCCACAAAUCGUGAAAUGUAAGUGCAAUUAAGUGUAACUAGUUUGUUAUUUCGACAUAGUUGUUUUGUAAAGGUUAUGAUUUUAUUAAAUGAAGGAAUUUGAUAAUUAAUUAGCUAAUUAUUUUACAGUAUAUUACUGAAUUAGGUGCUGAACCAAAUGCCUCAAAUCAUCUGUAAAGGUGAAGAACGAUUGUACGUACGGUUUCCAUCGAUGUAGUGUAAGAAAUCUAACUAGUUUGGAUUCAUAAAAUAUUUAUAAUUUCAAUGAUUGGUUUGAACUCAUAAGUGGGUUUUUGGGGGCUGGUUUAAUGGUAAAUUUAUUGAAUUCGUACUAAAUUUUGGUUUAGGUUCGUUUAAGGAGUUAAUAAGGAAAAUUGGAAGAUUCGCUAGUGCGCUGCGGGAAAGCGAAAAUAAGGUGUGGGUCCUAAAAUCAUAAAAUUUUUUGAAAAUGUUAAAUAUCAUGUUAUAUAUGAUAAAUUAACUUACUUAUUGGAUUUUCUUAAUAUCCAAAUUAUUGAUUUUGUGAGUGGCUGAACCAGAUAUGUCUCGAGCCUUAAAAGAUUGACAUGUUAGCAAAAUUGCUAGUUUGACAGUAUGGAUGUUUGAUUGAGUUUGUAUUUGCAUAUUUGAGUUAUGAGAUAUGGGAAUAUUUGAUUGAAUGAUAUAAUGUGUUGAGAUAUUAAGCUUUUGUAUGAUUUAAACGCAUGAGAUAUUUGUUAUAUUGUGUAUUGAAAAGGGUGUUUUUUAUGCACAAUGAAAAUCUGUAAAGUAUGUGAAAUUGAACUAUAUUGGUUGAUACCAACACAAUGGUAAUUUGAAAGAUUGGAAUACUAUUUCCAUUUACUAAAAGUAUGUGAUUAUUGAGGACAUGCUAAGCAUGUGAAAUGAAUGUGGAAAGUAUUGAGAUAUAAUUAUGUAUUUGCUUGUGUGACAUAUUGCAUAUGCAUUGGGAUAGGAUUUUGUGGUUGACAGAGGAGUUCCGUAGAGUUCCGGUGGCAUAUUAAGUCCGCAUUAUUUGUAGCCAGUACACUGCACCUGGAGUACCGAGGGGAUUGGUGAUUUUAUCGCAUAUUAUAUGUUAUUUCCAAUUGUAUCGCACUAUUUGAUAUCCUGCAGAUUUUCUAUAUUAUUGAUUACUCGGUGGUUUUACCACAUCGAGUUAUGCUCAUAAUGUUUUGGAGUUUGGCAGACAGGUUCUGGGGAACUCGUGGUGUGUAGUGGAUGGAAUGGGUAGGAACCUUUUUGCAUUGCAUCAUGUGUACGACAUAUUCGAAUGUUAUUGAUUUAUGCUAUGUAUUGUAUUUUGUUGUACUGAAUGGUGAUUGUUACUCGAAUUAAUGAUGUCCCAUGUUCAUAUACCAUUUGACAUUAAUUUGAUAAUGACUAUGUAAUGAUAUGAAAUUCCAAUGAUGGUUUUGUGUUCUUCUGUUAAUGCCAAUAUGUUUCAAUGUAUUCGAUAUUUAUGAUUUUGUCUGUUUAAAUAAUUAUUCGACUCACACUGAGCUUUUCAUAAGCUCACCCCCCAAUAGUGUUUAACUUUUCAGGUAAACCUCAAAAUUAAGACUGGGCUUGGCAUUUGGAGAAUUACCUUGGACCUCGACCUAUUUUUAAUAAGUAUUAAUCAAUUUCUAUUUGUUUUGGUUUGUAAUUUUUAAUGACUUCUGGUCUGUGGCUUGCUAACUUUUUUCUGGGAUUUUUGCAUGCAUGAAUUACGUACUCAAGCAUAAUAACCGGAUAUUGCAUGAUAUAUGGCUUAAGUAAAAUUUGACACUGUUCCCUAGUUUCCACUAUAUUGCAAAGGAACUAUUUUUGAAAAACAAAUCAAUAAGGCAACUAAAUUUCCAAAAUGACUUGAAAAAUGGUUUUUUCGCUGCAUUUGUUUAGCUUUGAGUUUUUUUUUUAAAGAAGAGUGACAAGCAAUGUCAACAAUAAAAUGAAUCCUAAGCAUACAAGACCUAAUGAAUGAAUGCUUUUAAGCUAACUCAAAGUACAACUACGAUUUUCUCUAAAAUGAUUUUUUUUUAAAGUCUUAAAAAGUAACGUAAGUUAGCUUAGCCAUUUCGGUGGUAAUGUAGCCUUCUCAAUUUAGCCAUAACGUCUAGGCCAGGUUUGGGAGGUUACAGGCUUGCCCAUGUGGGCCCACAUGACCCAAAAUGGCCUUGGCCAUAUAAAUCACAUGGCCUAGCCUAGAUUCCCACAUGCUUGUGUGGUUUAGUGUGGCUCACACAACCUAAAUUGAUUGAGCCCAUAUGUCACACAUAGCCCACCUGACCAUCACAUAGCCGUGUCUAGUGUGUAUGGCUUGGCUUGUCGAUCACACACCUGUGUUCUAUCACACGGCCUACCACACGGGUGACCACACGCUUGUGUGGCAUUGACAGUGAGGUGUUCGGCUUUCGCUGAAACCUCAUUUUCUGUGUAAUCGGGUAUACACACCUGUAUCGAUUUUAUUGCUAACUUAACCACAAGCACUCCAGAACCUAAAAUCGAUAAUUUCGAGUCCAUAUCAGUCUUACUUUGCAUUUAAUUAAAAUCCCGAAACCAAAAAUAUUCAUCCAUAAAGUGAUGAACACUUACUACAAAAUUUCGAAUCAAUUCCUUACGAACCAAUAUGAAGGAAGCUUUAAACCCCACGAGUUGCUGCUGUCAAAAUACUGAAACCAGUCCAUAUGACAAAGAAACAGAUUACCAAAGUAUUAAACUCCACUUACCGGACAACCAAGAUUAUGCACAGCACAAUAAAAGAGGUGAACUUGAGUAAAACCACACAAAAAAAUAAGGGGGAGGGAGAGAUGGAAUUUUGGACAAGAGAGGGGAGAAGAGAACAAAAUUUGCAAAAAGAAAACUAACAGAAAAAUUCUGAUAACCCUCUAUCCCAACUCUCUUACUUUUCUCCAUCCAAUUCCCCAUUACUCAGAGUCCAACCACAAUACAAAUCUAACCGAGAACUAGUAAAAAAAACUAUCCCUUACUGACGUAGAGAAUCAAACACAGGACCUCCAACACUCCAACACUUCACUUAACCACCAGACCAGCAGACCUAUUCUAAUAUAAAAUUACCAGUAAUUAAAUGUAAGCAUAUCGACUAGUAGUUAAGGCUUAAUUCAGGAAAAAGCCAAAAUUUUCCAAAGCUAGGCCUUAAACUUGGGACUUCACACACACACCCAGAACACUUAACCAUUGAAGCAGAUACACAGUUAUGUCAAUUAUUCGUAAAAACAUAAAUGUAAAAUUUGGGGCAUUACAACUCUAUGCCCCUUAAAAGAAAUUUCAUCCUUGAAUUUUACUUGAUCAGAACAGAUGAAGAUACUGUUGACGUAUCGCAUCCUCAAUCUCCUACGUAGCUUUCUCCGUGCUAUGAUUACACCAUAGGACUUUAACCAGUGGAAUAGAUUUCCUCAUUAAAAUCUUUACGUCACGAUCCAAUAUCUGAACUAACUCCUCCUCGAAGGUCAGAUCUGACCUAACCUCGCUCUCCUCGACAGAAGCAAUAUGCAUGGGAUUAGAGUGGUAGCGUUUCAACAUUGAUAUGUGGAACACAUCGUGAAUAUGUUCUAGCUAUAGAGGUAGCUCCAACUGGUAAGCAACCGGUCCCACUCGUUUCAUUAUGCAAUAGGGUCUAAUAAACCUAGAGCUCAGCUUGCUCUUACGACCAAAUCUCAGUACCUUCUUUGAUGGCGAGACCUUAAGAAAAAUGGAGUCUCCCAUAGAAUACUCAAUCUCGCGAUGCUUCAAGUCUACAUAAGACUUUUGUCUAUCGGAUGUCACUUUUAGUUGAUCCUGUAUCAAUCAGACCUUAUCCUUAGUAUCAGAAACCAGUUCAGGACUUAGAACUCGUUGCUUGCCCAACUCAGUCCAGCAUAAAGGAGUGCGACACUUACGACCAUAAAGUGCCUUAUAAGGUGCCAUCUGUAUACUAGACUGUAACUAUUAUUGUAAGCGAACUCUGCCAAUGGAAAAUAUUCCUCCCAACUGCCUCAGAAGUCAAUCAAACAGCUUCUCAACAUAUCCUCCAGUAUCUGAAUCACCCUAUCGGAUUGACUAUCGGUCUGAGGAUGGAAGGCAGUACUGAAGUCUAACCUUGAACCCAGAGCCUCAUGUAGUUUUUUCCAUAAUCGAGAUGUGAAACGAGAAUUCCUAUCAUAGAUGAUCGAAAUCGGUACCCCAUGUAGUCUCACUAUCUCAGACACAUACAGUUUAGCCAGCUUCAGCAGUGAGUAGUCAGCAUGAAACGGUAUAAAAUGAGCAGACUUGGUCAAUCGAUCCACGAUGAACCAUACAGAAUAUUUCUUAGUAGGUGUGAAGGCUAACCUACUAACAAAAUCCAUAGGCACUCGCUUCUACUUCCAAAGUGGAAUCUUAACUGGCUGCAACAACCCUGAAGGUAACUAAUGCUCAGUCUUAACCUGCUGGCAAGUCAGACAUUUACCAACAAAAUCGAUAACCUCUCAUUUAAUUCCUAGCCACCAGUAUAACUCACGAAGGUCGAUACAUUUUAUUCCCUCUAGGAUGCAUAGAAUAGGGGUUACUAUACGCCUCUUUCAGUAUCAUCUGCCUCAAUUCAGUGUCUUUCAGUACACAGAUUCUCCCAAAGAAACAGAGUACCCCUUCGCUAUUCAGUCUGAAGUCCUCAGUACGUCCACUCUCAACCUAUCAGAAACGAAGACCUAAAGAUUCGUCUUCCAACUGCUUACCCUUAAUCUGCUUAAUCCACGUAGGCUUAACCUGAAGUUCAGCUAACAGACUUCCAUCAUCAAAUAAACUGAGGUGAGCAAGCAUCACCAUCAAAUCAAUUAUAAACCUACAACUCAGUGCGUCGGCCACCACAUUGGCCUUAACAGGGUGGUAUACAACCGUACAGUCAUAGUCCUUAAGCAUCUCAAUCCAUCUACGCUGCCUAAAAUUUAGCUCCUUUUGAGUGAGGAGAUACUUGAGGCUCUUGUGAUCCGUGUAAAUGAUACACUUUUCACCACAUAGGUAAUGCCUCCAGAUUUACAAUACAAACACAAAUGCGACCAACUCUAGGUCAUGCGUCGAAUAAUUUACCUCAUGAGUCAUAGGCUGACGAGAUGCAUACACUACCACCUUACCUUCUUACAUCAAAAUGCAUCCCAAACUGACAUGUGAUGCAUCGCUGUAGAUAGUAAACUAUUUUCUAGACUCUGGCUAUAUCAUAAUCGGGGCUUCAGUCAGUACAGUUUUGAGAUUCUCAAAGCUCUUUUUUGCAGCAUUAGUCCAGUUAAAUGGUACACCCUUGCGUGGCAGCUUAGUCAAAGGUGUCACAAUUAGUGAAACCCUUCUACAAAACAUCGAUGAUACCUUGCCAGUCCUAGAAAACUACGGAUCUCAGAUAUAGUCCUAGGCUGCUUCUAAUCCAUGACAGCCUCAAUCUUUCGAGGAUCGACUCUAAUCCCCUCUGCAGAAACCACAUGUCUUAGAAACGCUACUUCACGUAACCAGAACUCACAUUUAUUGAACUUGGCGUACAGUUUUUUCUCUCAUAGAACCAAUAGAACCACUCUGAGGUGUUCAUCGUGCUCAUCCUCAGUCCUCGAAUACACCAAUAUGUCGUCAAUAAAUAUCACUACGAACCGAUCCAGAUAGGGCUGGACCAUUUGGUUCAUCAGAUCCAUGAAAGCUGCUGGUGUAUUCGUCAGUCCAAAUGGCAUUACUAGGAACUCGUAAUGACCGCAUCGAGUCCUAAAUGUCAUCUUGUGUACAUCAGUCUCCUUAACCCUCAAUUGAUGAUAUCCUAAUCGGAUAUCAAUAUUGGAAAAAAUCGAAGCCCCUCGAAACUGGUCAAACAAAUCAUUUAUUCUCGGUAAGGGAUACUUAUUCUUAAUUGUCAACUUGUUUAGUUGCCGGUAGUCAAUACACAUAGGCAUGGAUCUAUCCUUCUUUUUCACAAAUAGAACUGGUGCUCCCCAUGGAGACACACUAGGGUGGAUGAACCCACAAUCUAGUAGCUUUUGAAUCUGAGCUUUAAGCUUCGCAAGCUCUUUCGGUGCCAUUCUAUAGGAAGCGAUGGACACCGUAGCUGUACCAGGAAGAAGCUCAAUCCCAAACUCUACUUCAUAAUUCAGAGGUAACCCAAGUACCUCUUUAGGAAAAAUGUCCGAAAAGUUCUUAACAGUUCUAAUAUCCUAAACUGAAGAAUCCCUAGAAUUAAAAACACUAAUGUAGGCCAGAUACACCUCAUAUCCCUUACGAACCAACUUUUUCGCCUCAAUGCAGAAAUCACAGUCGACAAGUAGUUCUGAUGUUCCCCAAUUAUGACUAUCUCACUAUCCUCCUCAGUUCUCAGCACAACCCUUUAUGUGCACAAUCCAAGCUCACUCGGUGUUUAACCAACCAGUCCUUCCCAGUAUCAGAUCAAACUCUUUGAAAGGCAGUUCCAUCAGAUCAGCCAGAAAAAUAGCCCCUUGGACAUCUAAAGGAACGUCUCUGAACAACUUAUUUACCCUUACUGAUUGUCCCAGCGGACUCAGUACAGUCACCUCACUUGCAGUGCUCUCAACCAUGAUACCCAAGUUUUCGGACACAAUACAGGCUAUAUAGGAGUGAGUCGGUCCUAUAUCUAUCAGUGUAAUAUAAGGUACAUUAUAAAUAAAGAAUGUACCCGUGAUAACAUCUGGAGCAUCUCCAUCCUCUCGGCAAUGUCCAGCAUAAACUAGAGCUGACUGCCUCGCCUCAGUAUGACCAGUAUCUCUGCCCAGUGCUCUCUGACCAUGGCCUAACCUAUUACCACCUCUGACCUACCCACGGCUUCUCGAUGGCUGCUAAACUGCUCUCGGUAGUGGUGCUAUCCCAGUACUUGGAGCUUGCAUUUGAUCGAACCUCCGUAGACACUCCCUAAUACGAUGCUCUAAUGAACUGCAUCUCAAACAAGCUCUGGUUUUUUUCCAACACUCGCCCUGAUGGCGUCUACCACAGUCAGUACAUGACGGCUGUGAAUCCCUCUUGCUCCUACCUCUUUCUCAGUUCUGGCGCUUAGCGCGCUUCACUUCCUUGGCGAUCUUCGCCUUAUCAACCAGUGCAGCAAAGUCUCACUCCCUUUGUGGAGCUAUCAGAACCCUCAAAUUAUCCCUGAGGCCAUCCUCGAAGUGAACACAUUGCUCGUACUUAGUCGCCACCAUACCUCGCGUAUAGCGGCUCAGUCUAAAAAAUUCGGCCUCAUACUCGGCCACCGAUCUAUUUCCCUGAGUCAGAUUCAAGAAAUCUUACCGACGGGCAUCCACAUAACUAGCGCCCACAUAUUUCCCUUUAAAGCAAUCUUAAAAUAUUCCCAGGACAGUCGUUCGGGCUGGAUGCCCUCCUUAACAAUAAGCCACCACUUAUAUGCCUCAUCACGCAGUAGUGAUACAACACCUUUUAAUAUUUGCUCGGGGUUGCGGUCCAGAUCGUUCAUAAUCCUCUCUGUGACCUCAAUCUAGUAUUCAGCCACAUUAGGGGCAACUCCAGCAAUACCCAUGAAAAGCUCAGCUCUGUUAGACCGGAGUCAUUCUGUAAUCAACCCACGGCUUCCAGCUCCAGUAUUGGGCCCAGCGACCCUCUCUAAAAUCCUCAACAUGGCUUGAGAUAGUGGGUCGUACCCAACCGCUCUAUAAUGAGACCCAUUCUUAGCCACAGGUGAAGCCAGUGUCUCACUAAUAUCCAAAUUAGGUAGAUUACCAAAUGACGAAGACCCAGCUCGAGCACCCCUACGGCUUCUACCAUGGCUUCUUGUAUCCCAUCCGCGAGUACCUCUGGUGCUCAUUGUCUAAUUGUAUUUUAUCUGUAUUAGCAGUUUUAUGGAUCAGUUUAAAGUUCCAGUACUUAUUAACAUAUAUUUUAUGAAAAUAGUAUCAGAAGUGUAAAGUUUGUUUCGUACAUCGCAGUGUCAAUUAAUGUCUGUCAAUUUUACUACAGUCUUAGUAUACACUAUUUUAAGUGUUUCUGUAUAGUCUAUCUAUAGUAGUCUCAGUACCACCUAUAGCAGUUUCAGGAUAUACUUUCAAAAAUAGUUUCAGAAAACUUACUGGAUCGGCGCCGGAGACUCAGUGGACCACACUUUCAGUAAAAACAUUUAAAGGUCAAUUCUCAGAAAAUCACGUUUUAAAACCCACAACCACAGCUAAAUUUUGUAACAUGGCUCUGAUACCACUAAAUGUAACACCCCAAACAUGGCCUAGGCAUUAUGACCGAAUCUGGAAAUGUCACAUGAUAGCGUUUGAAACUAAGUUGUUACAAUAAAAUAAUUUUCAUUUAUUUACUCUUAUUGUCUCCAAAAUCAUUACUUAUUUAGUCAAUUGUUUUAACACAUUUCAUUGCGGAAGCUUUUAAAAGUCGUUUUGCGUAAAUCGUGUACUUAGAGAAAACUUUACCUUUUUAAAACUAAGUUUUUAAACGUCUAGCAGUUAUAAAUCCAUAAAAAUAAGUAACCCAAUUUAAGCAAAAGUCUGAGAAGGUCUGUAAUUUACAUCUAAAAUUAACCUAGAAGAUACUUAAGAAUUAAAUACCAAAAUUGAAGUCAAAUGGUUUAUAAUAUGUAUGGCCACUAUCGAGUCCUCCGCUGCACCAAUCCGACAAGUCUGGGGAUUACCUGUGCCUAUUUAAACAAAAGGGUGAGUUUAUGAAAACUCAGUGUGUAAUCUUUAUAUAGAACAAGCAAACAUCAUGCAGUCACAGUCUGGGCUUAAGCCAUUUUAGUAUAAAAGCGGUCAUGCAUUAGGGCCUUGGCCCAUUACAGAAUGAGUAAUCAUUACAGUAUCAGAUAUACAGUCACAAAAUCCUACCCAACGUGCCUCUACACACUAUCUCCGUCCAACCUACACUCCAUGUGGGGAUAUAAUCAACCCACCUAUCCUUAUACUCCAAAAGUACCGAAUGCGCAGCUAAACUGCCAGUUAAUUAGUCUGAGGCCUUUCAGUACACUUCCUCUGAACAAUAUCAAUCCCCCAUCCCAGUGCAAUGCAACAUACAGUAAUGACAUGCUAUAUCAUGGCAGUAUUACAUACAAUAUCAAUUCAUUAAAUAUCAUCAUGCUCGAAAACAUGCAAAAAGAUAUACAUAAUAGUCAUACAGUCAUUUCAGUCAAAUAGGGGUCUAAGUAGUGCUUAACGACCCUACAGUAGGUUCACAGUCAACUUAAGUGACCUGUGCAACCUUACCAAACAUUUCAGUAAAAUGGGCUCACACGCCCAUGUGCUUGCCCGUGUGGGCUUAAACGGUCUAAAUUAGCCUUGGCCGUGUAAAUCACAGUGCCUGGCCCAGAUUUUCACACGCUAGUGUGGUUUACCCAUGUGGGCCCACACACCCGUGUAGCGCACACGACCCAAAUUGAUUGAGCCUAUGUGUCGCACACAGCCUACCUGGCCAUCACGCGGCCGUGUCUAGUGUACACAGCUUGGCUCUUCGAUCACACGCCCGUGUUCUAUCAACGGCCUACCACACGGUGGCCACAUGCCAGGUAAGUUCAUAUGGUUGAUUUUUUAUGAUUAUUUGUUAAAUUUAAGAAUGAUAUAAUGUAUUAUUUUAUAUAUUUAUGAUUAAAUUAUUAUUAUUAUUAUUAUUAUAAAAAUAUGAAAAUUGGAUCGAAAGUUCAAAUUAAGUGAAACACAAGAUUGAGUACGAUCAUUCCGUGACACAAAAUGAAUUGAUGGAUAAGACCAUGGUUGGACCAUGGCAAUGUUUAAAUGUAAGACCAUAGUUGGGCUAUGGUAUUUUAGUGAAAGACCAUAACUGGUUUAUGGCACCGUGAACGUAAGACCAUGGUUAGAUUAUGGUAGUAUAUAUAUAUGUGUGUAAGACCAUAGCUGGGCUAUGGAAUCCUGAUGAUAAGACCAUAACUAGGUUAUGACAUUACAAAUGUAAGACUAUGGCAGGGUAAUGGCAAUAUACGUGUAUGACCAUAGUUGGACUAUGGCAUCAAGAAAAUGAUGUACUCAAUUCCGUAAGAUGUUCUCUGAUUUGGACAAUGAUUGGUAAGUGUCAUGUGGAUUAAAGUGAUAGAAUUUAAAUAGUUAUUGAUAUUGAGCUUAACCAAGUGAAUUCGUCAUUUGAAAUUAUGAUUGGCAGGAAGUGUUAGUGAAAUGCUUAUUUUAUGAUUUGUUAUAGUAUGUUCGGUAAGAUUUAACUUUAAAACUAAUAAAUUUACUAAGCUUCAUUAAGUUUACUCAUGUUGUUUAAUGUUUCAUGUAAAUUAAUGUGAGUUCGGAGGAUCGAAUCAACAUAUCGGAUUACACUAUCCAGAUUACUCCGAUAGAUUUUGUUAAAUACCUUAUGGUUUAUAUGACAUGUAUAGGGUUGGUUUAGAAAAGAGUUAAACUUGAAGCAUGGUUGUGAAUGAUACAUAUGUAUAUGUUUGUAUGUUCGUAUUUAGUAGUAGUUUUUAGUAAUCAAGGAACGAAGUUAUUAUGGUAAAUUUAUGCAAAUGAGUGUUGUGAUUACAUAUUAUGUUUAAAACAUGAUUUUUGGCUUGUAUUGGUUGCUUGAUUGGGAUAUAUUGGUGUAUAUCAAUGUUGUGUGCAAGAUGAUAUUAAAAAGGGUGAGAAAAAUGGCCUUAAAAUGACCUAUUUUUGUCCACAUGGGCAGAGACAUGGGCGUAUGUCUCAUUCGUAUCUAACAUACGGCCUGACACAUGAGCAUGUGAUUUGGUCGUGUGUCCCCUGUACCUUGAAAAUUCAAAACUGAAUGCCCAGGUUUUUACAUACGGCUUAGUACACGGGCGUGUAGUUGGCUGUGUGGCACAAGUCAGAGAGUUACACAGGUAAGGACACGGGCUGAGAUACUGUCGUGUGUCUCAUAUCGAAUGCCCACAUGGCCUAAGACACUGGCGUGUCUCUUGGCCGUGUGUGCCACACGGCUGGCCACACGGACGUGUGUCCUCUACUCCUAAGAUGAAUUUUAAAAUUUUGGGAAAAAUUUCUUUAGUGUUUGGUUUAGUCCCGAUUCACUUCUAAAGUGUUUAUUGGACCUCGAGGGCCCAUCUAAGGGACAAUAUGAAUGUUUUAUAAUUGAUUCUUGAUUUGUAUAGUAAAGGUAAUGAAAUAAUCAUAAUUAGUCUGUAAAGUUUGGUAAUGCUCUGUAACCCUGUUCUGUCGAUGGAUAAGGGUUAAAGGUGUUACAUAGAAUGCUAGAUUCGAGUAGCAACAGAUGUUCCAGCAAGAGUUGUUGAGGCAAAAUGGGGAAUUAAGAAAGAAGGUACAGUCUGAAAAUUCUGAUCUUUAUGUUGAUAGUGACAUGUGUGAAGAUGGUUCUAGGAUGCAUAUAAAACUGUGGUAGAAUGAGAUAGAUGCCUUACGUAGGAAUGUACGGGCUUUGCAUCCUGACUCCCAGGAUAUGUAUUGACUAUUUUGUUCCAACAAUCUGCUAGCUCUUGGAAUUAUAACUGUGAGUUGUGAUUUUUAUGCAAGCAUAAACAUCGGUUCAAGUAAUAAAGUGAUGAGUGAGUAUCGUUCCCACGAGGAUCUGAUUGAGGCACAAAGUUGGUUAAAUUAUUUUAAUAAAGUUGGGUUAAUGCUAUGGGAAAACGAUUAAAUGAAAUGUGAUGGAAAAACUAAGGUAAAUAUGGAAUGAUGAGUAAUAUAUGGAAUUAGUAAAUAAUUGGAAAUGCUAUGGCAAAGGUGAUAGUAGGAAUGUAAUGGCAAAUAUGAGAGUGAUAUGCAAAUAUUUUAUAAAUAAAUAACUACUAAAUAUGCUGUGGCAAAGAUACUUCGGCAAAGAAUAAAGAGAUAGUGUCUACGAUAUUUAUGCGGUAUGUUGGGAUUAUUCAGAAUCAACCUUCACUGUCAAUAAUGCCAUGGCAAAAUCUUGAUUAACUUACUGUGCAGAAGAGUCCUAAAGUGACCUACCUUUUUCGGGGGCAAAACCUGAAGUUAUUUUCCUUGCUCAUAUAGGGUCUUAUUGUAGUAACCUAUGUAAUUCCUUCUUUAUGACGCAAGUAUCAUUUGACUAUUGCUCAUGCCAUUCAAUAUUAGUUAAGUAAUCUAAACGUUCCUGCAUUAAAUCAACUUAACAAGAAUAAUAUGCCAUCGACUAUUCCUAGGAAUUGCACUUAAAUAAUUAAAUGAGCAGUAAAAUAAUCAGAUGUAUACCAUGGAAACUUAAAACGGUUAAGUUUCAUCAAAAUAACCCCAACUCGAUGAGAUUUAACCCAUUAGUUGGGAAAUAAAAUUCCAAACCAUCACCAUCAUUUACAACCAAAUUAAUUCACAAGAGAACAUGAUGGAAAUAAUGGAAGAACGUCAGGAGAACAACUUCCUCUAGUCUACACUUCAGCAGUACAGUGCCCUGUGUUAGCCGAUAGGAUGACUUUCUCUUUUAGUGAAACCCUCUUACUCUUGCAUUAGGAUCUUCUCGUCUUGUUGUUCUCUUUUUGUUGUGUUUUCUAUUGUGUUUUAGGGUUUUUUUUCAUUUGGCCUAUUUAUAAGCUCUCCCUAUAGUAAAUUUCACAACCAAAGAUUAUCUUCUUUCUUUUAAAAUUCUUUUUUGGUUUAAAAUCCCUUCCUAUUGGGUAGGUGGUUAUCAGCUCAUUAUCUCUUGAUCUUUUUCCUCUUUUAAAAUUCUUUUUCUCUAAGAUAAAACCAAUAGCCCAAGAUUUAUCUCCUCCUCUUUUUUAGGUUUAGUUAUUUGGUACAAGUAGAAUUGUGUUGAAACUGGUAUGCGUAGAGUGUUAACUCAGUCAUCUUCUUGAAAUCACGAAUUGCCACGACAUACAAGUCGACAAACUGUCCACCCUUUUGCCCUGGAAAACCUUCACCUUUUUAUUCCUUGUUCCUUAUCCUGUCCCUGCAAAUCGACCAAACAUAGCCCUUCCACAAGCAAUUAAAAGUAACCAAUAACAUUUAAACACAGUCUAAGAGCCUAAUGCAAAGAUUAAGGAAAAAUACUAAUGUAAUGUCCUAAAGUGCAACUAAAUGUACUUAAGUACAUGUAAUUAGCUAGGUUUAAAGGCAUGAAAUAUAAUUCUUUUCAAGAGCUAUCACACCCCUAAACUUGAGUUAUUGCUUGUCCUCAAGCAAAAUAUACAUGCAUGCAUGAAUGCAAACAUUUUGCCAGCGCUCUAAACCAACUCAUACUGCCAAGCUAUUCAAAGAACAACAUAUACAUCAGUUCUCAGCAAUCUUCUUUUUUCUAAAACUCAUUCUAGUGUCAAAGGUUUGCUCAACAAAGGUAGUGGAAAAUUUUUCCCUAAAAACAAAAUUUCCUAAGCACUCAAGUAUUUUUUUUCGGCCUAUGGCAAACAUCUCCUAAUUUACCUAGUUCAUUUGUUACCUAAACAUAAGUUGCUUGCUUUAAGCCUACUCAAAAUAUAUUAUUCACAUUUGUUUAUUUGUUUAUUUUAUUCCCAGACAGGGUUUUACUCGUAAACACAUAUCAGAAUCACAUAUUGAUGCCAUGGUCUUACUCGCACACAUAUAUCAGAAUCCUAUGUCAUGACAUAUGUAUCCUAACUAUUCAUAAGGUUUAUACGGGGCUUUCGGACGUCGUAACUCGGUCGAAACGAUUGCAUGAACAUAGUUACCAUGCUUACACAUUUGGCAUUAGCACUUAUUAAUUCAUAUAUUUCAUAUCAGCAUAUAUACUUUACAUUUAAUUAAAAUUAAGUACGUCUAUUUGCUUAUAAACUUACCUCGGACAACGAAAAAUCGGUACGGAUCGACUAGUCGGCAACUUUCGUUUUCCCCCGAUCCAAAUCCGAUUUUGUUGGUUCUCGAUCUUGAUUGAGCUUGAAUAAAGCCAAACCCUAGGUUUCUCUUUUGUUUUGUUUUUGGUUUCGGUGUAAGAACAUGAAAAAAAUAACAUGAUGAGGCAUAUUUUAUGAUAUAUUUAUGUUAUACUAACUUAUUUUAUUAGUUUACCAUAUUAACCUUAGUUUAAAACUUAAUAUUAUCAUAUUUUAGUGUCCUUUGCCAUCCACUUAUUUUACUAAUGGCUUAUUUAUCUCAUAUAGGCUUCCAUUUAAAAAGCCAAGUGCAAUUUAGCCCUUUUUAGAAAUAACCACCUAAUUUACAUUUUACGCAACUAAAUCCUUUUAUUUAAUCAGACACCUAAAUGAGAAAAUUAAAUCACGAAAAUUUCACAGAUAUAAAUUCACACAAAAUAAACACAAAAAAUAAUUUUAAAAUAUUUUUCUGACUCGGAUUCGUGGUCCUGAAACCACCGUUCUGAUUAGGGUCUAAAACGGGCUAUUACAACUCUCCCCCUUAGGGAUUUUUGUCCCCGAAAAUCUUAUCAGUGAAUAGGUUCGGAUAACGUUCUCUCAUUGCAUCCUUUGGCUCCCAUGUUGCUUCCUUAACUCCGUGUUUAUGCCAUAGCACUUUAACUAAUGAAAUUUUCUUAUUUCGCAACUCUUUAAUCUCGUGGGCCAAAAUACGAAUCGGUUCUUCUUCAUACGUCAUAUCGGGCAUAAUCUCAAUCUUAGACGGACUAAUCACAUGUGAAGGGUCAAAUCAAUAUCUACGAAGCAUCGAGACAUGGAAUACAUUGUGGAUAUUUUCUAACUUAGGUGGCAACAACAGUCUGUAAGCAACUGGCCCGAUACGCUCUAUAAUCUCAUACGGUCCAAUGAAUCUCGGUCUCAAUUUGCCUUUACGACCAAAUCUGAAUAUUUUCUUCCACGGUGAGACUUUCAAGAAAACUUUAUCUUCGAUCUGAAACUCUAUAUCUUUACGUUUCAAGUCCGGAUAAGAUUUCUAACGGUCUGAUGCCGCUUUUAGACUUUCACGAACCAUUUUCACUUUCUGCUCAGUUUCUCUGAUCAAGUUGACCCCGUGUAUCUUAUUUUCACUGAGUUCAGUCCAGUACAAUGGUGUACGACAUUUACGACCAUACAAAGCCUCAUAAGGUGCCAUUUUAAUACUCGAUUAAAAGCUGUUAUUAUACGUAAAUUCAAUCAGAGGUAGGUAUCAUUCCCAUAUACCUUCAAACUCGAGAAUGUAACAUCUCAACAUAUCCUCAAGUAUCUGAAUGAUUCGCUCAGACAGGCCAUCUGUUUGUAGAUGGAAGACAGUACUAAAAUGUAAUUUCAUACCUAUUGCAUCUAGCAGUUUCUUCCAAAACCGCGAUGUAAACCUUAGAUCCCUAUCUGAAACAAUAGAUAUAGGCACACCAUGUAAUCUCACAAUCUGAGAAACAUACAAUUCAGCCAGCUUAUCCAACGAGUAGUCUGUACGUAUUGGAACAAAAUGAGUUGAUUUAGUCAAUCUAUCUAUAACAACCCAGAUGGGAUCUUUCUUGCUCGGUGUCAACGAUAAACCAGAUACAAAAUCCAUCGUGACUCUGUCUCAUUUCCACUCUGGUAUCAUAAUCGGCUGAAGCAAUCCAGAAGGUACCUAAUGCUCGGCUUUUAUUUGUUGACAAACUAAACAUCUUGCAAUAAAUUCAAAAAUGUCUCGUUUCAUACCAUGCCACCAAUAAAACUGUUUUAGAUCAUUAUAUAUCUUUGUACUACCUGGGUGAACAGAUGAUCGACUGCUGUGAGCUUCAUUCAAAAUCAUUUGAAUCAACUCUGAAUUCCUCUGAACACAUAUUUGGUUUCUGAAUCUUAAACAGUCAUCAGCAUCAACUCUGAAUUUUGAAUUAACAUCUGUAUCACACUGAGUUCGUUUUUCUAUCAACUCAUUAUCAACCUUCUGGGCAUCACAAAUUUAUUGAAAAAAUAAUGGUCUUGCUUUCAAUUCAGCUAUUAUCGAACCAACAUCAGACAUAGCCAUAUGCGUAUUCAUUGCAUGCAAAGCAUACAAUGAUUUUCGGCUUAAAGCAUCAGUAACAACAUUAGCCUUUCCCGGGUGGUAGUAAAUCACAAGCUCAUAGUCUUUUAACAAUUCUAACCAUUAGCAUUGUCUCAAAUUUAGAUCUUUCUGAGUUAUCAAGUAUUUCAGGCUUUUAUGAUCAGAAUAAACAUGACAUUUCUCACCGAACAGAUAAUGACCCCAAAUUUUCAAUGCGAACACAAUUGCUGCCAAUUCUAGGUCAUGUGUCGGAUAGUUCUUUUCAUGUGGCUUCAAUUGGCUCGAGGCAUAACCUAUAACUCUGCUUUCCUGCAUCAAAACAUAGCCCAAACCAUUUAAACAUGUAUCACUAUAAAUAACAAAUUCGUUACCCAAUUUUAGUUGAACUAGCACUGGUGUUUUAGUCAAUAGGGCUUUCAACUGAUCAAAGCUUUUCUGGCACUUCUCUGACCACUCGAACUUAACAUCUUUCUGCAAUAACUUCGUCAUUGGGGCUGCAAUCAUAGAGAAACCUUUCACGAACCGUCUAUAAUAACCAGCAAGUCCCAAAAAACUUCGGACUUCAAAAACAUUCUUAGGAGGUUUCCAAUCAAGUAUAGCUGAAAUUUUGCUCGGAUCAACCCGAAUACCCGAUGCUGAUACCACAUGACCCAAAAAACUGACUUCACUUAACUAGAAUUCACAUUUACUGAAUUUCACAUACAACUGCUUAUCUCGCAAAGUCUGUAACAAAAGUCUCAAAUGUUCGGCAUGUUCAGUUUCAUCACGGGAAUAGAUCAAAAUUUUAUCUAUAAACAUAACCACAAACCGGUCUAGAUACGGUCUGAAGAUCCGAUUCAUCAAAUCCAUGAAAACAACAAGUGUAUUAGGGAGUCCGAAAGGCAUAACCAAAAAUUCAUAAUGUCCGUACCUCGUUCGAAAAGCAGUCUUUGGUAUGUCUGAAUCUUUAACUCAGAACUGAUAGUAGCCUGAUCUCAACCUACCAAUUUCAUACAUGAUAUUUUUAUUUUUAUACAAAAUUCCCACCUUGGCCGAAUGCCUAUAUAACCAAUAUAAGUAAUUCACAUUUCACUUACAAAGCCAAUAUAUCAUUAGAUAAUCAAAUAUACUUAUACUCAUGAACACUAACACAAGCAUCAUAAUAUAUCAUCAUGUACACAUUACCUAAAUGGCCGAAUACACAUGGUUACAUCAACAAACAUAUCACAUAUCAUUUCGAAGACAAUCACAAUAUAUAUAUCUUAUCAAGAUCGAUUACACUUUUAUAAUUGCACAUUCCAUAUUUACCUCAUAAGUAAUUUGUAUCAAACAUUAAAUACUUACUUACCUUACCUUGAAUAGGUAAUAAGUUAAUCCAUACCUGGCAUAUAGCUCAUUUUACACAUUCGAAUAUAGUUUAUCUUUUCCUGAUGAACCAUUCAAAAUAGGAUAAGACACUCGGAUAAUCACAUAAAUCGUACAAUGUCAACGUCCCAGACGUGGUCUUACAUGUAGCCACAUAUCGAUGCCACUGUCUUAGACAGGGUCUUACUCGUAAACACAUAUUAGAAUCACAUAUCGAUGACAUGGUCUUACUCGCACACAUAUAUCGGAAUCCUAUGUCAUGACAUAUGUAUCCUAACUAUUCCUAUGGUUCAUACGGGGCAUUCGAACGUCGUAACUAAGUCGAAAUGAUUGCAUGAACAUAGUUACCAUGCUUACACAUUCGACAUUAGCACAUAUUAAUUCAUAUAUUUCAUAUCAGCAUAUAUACUUUACAUUUAAUUAAAAUUAAGUACGUCUAUUUGCUUAUAAACUUACCUCAGACAAUGAAAAAUUGAUACGAAUCGACUAGUCGACAACUUUCGUUUCCCCCCGAUCCAAAUCUGAUUUCUUUGGUUCUCAAUCUUGAUUGAGCUUGAAUGAAGCCGAACCCUGGGUUUCUCUUUUUCUUUUCUUUUGUUUUUAGUUCCAGUGCAAGAACAUAAAAAAAAUAACAUGAAUAUGGCAUAUUUUAUGAUAUGUUUAUGUUAUAUUAACUUAUUUUAUUAGUUUACCAUAUUAACCUUAGUUUAAAACUUAAUAUUAUCAUAUUUUAAUGUCCUUUUCCGUCCACUUAUUUUACUAAUGGCUUAUUUAUCUCAUAUAGGCUUCCAUUUAAAAAGCCAAGUGCAAUUUCGCCACUUUUAGAACCUAAUUUACAUUUUACGCGAUUAAAUUCUAUUAUUUAAUCAGACACCUAAACGACAAAAUUAAAUCACGAAAAUUUAAAAUAUAUAAAUUCACACAAAUAGCACAAAAAAUAAUUUUAAAAUAUUUUUCUGACUCGGAUACCUAGUCCCAAAACCACCGUUCCGAUUAGGGUCUAAAACGGGCUGUUACACCUAAAGUGGUUUGCCUCUUUUGGAGGAAAAACCUUAAGUUAUUGUCCCUGCUCAUACAGGGUCUUAUUAUGGUAACCUGUCUAAUUACUUCUUUAUGACGCAAGCUUUAUUCAAAUGUUGCUCAUGCCAUUCAAUAUUAGUUAAGUAAUCUAACCUUUCACGCAUCAAAUCAACUUAACAAGAAUAAUAUGCCAUUGACUAUUCCUUAGCGUUACACUUAAACAAUUAAAUGGGCUGUAAAAUAAUCAGAUGUAUACCAUUAAAACUUAAAACAAUUAAGUAUCAUCAAAAUAACCCCAACCAAAUCAAUUCACAAGAGAAGACAAUGGAAAUAAUGGAAGAAUGUUGGGAGAACAUCUUCUUCUGUUCCACACUUCAGCAAUACAGUGCCCUGUGUUAGCUGAGAGGAUGACUUCCUCUUUCAAUGGAUUCCUCUUACUCUUGUCUUAGGAUCUUCUCGUCUUGUUGUUCUCUUUUUGUAAUGUUUUCUACUAUGUUUUAGAGUUUCCUUUUUUGGCCUAUUUAUAACCUCUCCCUAGGGUAAAUCUCACAACCAAAGAUUAUCUUCUCUUUUUAAAAUUCUUUAUGGUUUAAAAUCCCUUUCUUUUGGGGAAGUGGUUAUCUACUUAUUAUCUCAUAAUAUUUUCCUCUAUUUAAAUUCUUCUUCUCUAAGAUAAAACCAAAAGCCCAAGAUUUAUCUCCUUUUUUUAGGUGUAUUUAUCUAGUACAAGUAGAAUUGUGCUAAAACUGGUAUGCAUAGAGUGUUCGCACUAACCAAUCUGGAGGAUCAGUUGGCCAUUGUCGGUUUCAUUAUGGGAGUUCUAAAUGAGCAUGUCCAAUAGGCAUUCACUAACAACAGGCUGUCACGCUUAGCAGAUCUGUAUGAGAGGGCUCACAAGUUCAUUAAGGCAAAAGAGAUCAAAAGGAUAGCACGUGGUACAUUCCAAAGAGAUGAUAGGCAUUUGAGGAAUAGAGAGGGUGUUCACAUCCCUCAAGGCUCCUCUUCUCAGAAUCUACGAGUACAAGGUGGGGGGAAAUAGAACGGAUAGUCGAGAAUGAGUUGUUCAGAACAUUCCAAAUAUCCCAACUUGAACAUGCAAGAAGGUACGUUCCUUAUGGUAAAUUUGAGACAUAUACUCCUUUGAAUGAUACACGUGCGUAUAUUCUUAGCCAGGUAAAGAAUGCCUUUUAUGAAGAUGGAGGGCAUAAGACUGAAAAUUUUUCUCCCUUAAAGGACACUAAAGAAAAAGCAAUUAAGAAUAGUGAGGUGAAGGAUUUUUUUGCUCAGCGUACUGAUCAGCUAGGGCAGUGUUCAAGGAUAAAGGCUAAAGGUAAACAACAAGUGAAAUGAACUAUUCAUGUGAUAUUUGGGAUAGAUUUAGAUUGGGCAACUUCCAAUGUGAAGAGAAAGACUUAUCUUAGAAGUGUUAUGUCUAUUAGUUCACCAAAGAGAUUUUGUCAGCUGAUCUACCGUAAUUCAGUGUAGUAGAUUAAACUAGUGUUUGCACUUUAGGAGCUUGAAAUUAAGCAUUAUCAUUAGGAUCUUAUUAUGUUUUAGUAAGUUUUGUUAAAUUAAAUAAUAUGUGUAAAUUGAGUGUUUUAUUGACCUUAGAGGUUGAAUGAAGCCUAAAGGUGAGCUAAUGAACUUUAUAAUUGCGGAGGAGACCGUUAGAAGGCGUACUAAAUAGAUAUUGGUCGCUAUGUUGUAACAUAAAAUGUUCCAUGUCGCAACAUAGAGAGCUGAAUAGAGAAAUCAUGAAACUGCAUUUGAUGUCAGUAGGGGUGAGUAUUCGACUGAGUCGAGUCAAAUUGAGUCAAAACAUUUUGAGUUAGUCACGUUGACAAGUUUUAUUUUAGAAACCGAACUAAAUUUGAUUUUUUCAAAAAAUUUCAAGUCAAGUCGAGUCGAGUUAAUGAAUCUUAUUAUUUAUAGUCAGUAUUGCAUUUACAUGGACCGGUAAUUUAACUAGUAGAUGAAGUAUAAGAUUAUUUAACUACAUAAACAUUAUAAUGGUUUUGCUUUUUAACUUAAUGAGUAAACAUUUAUCAAAACAACGUAGUUUUACCUUUUAACUUAAUGGUUUUGACUUUCAACUUUAAAAAAGGUAACCAUUUAUCAAAACGAUGUAGUUUUGCCUUUUCUUUUUUAGAUUUUCGGAUUAGUCGAAUUGUGUAAUUCAUAUUCGAGUUAAACUAAGAAAACUUAAUUUUUUAUUUGAGUUAAUCCGAAUAACUUGAUUAACUCAAAUAACUCAAACUAUUUAAUUCAAAAUUUGAAAUUUUAUUGAGUUUUUUGAAUUGAAUCAAAUUUUGCUCACUCCUAGAUGUCGCGACACAGUCUAAUGGUUUGUGACAUACCCUUGAAUAAAUCCCAAAGAGGAGUAUAUUGACUUUUAUAUUGCGACACAAGUCUUGGUGUGUCGCGACAUCGACUCUAGAUGGCAAAUAACAAGAGCCAGGGGGCGUUUUGGUUUGCAUAAUCAAACUUAAAGCUUGAGAACAUUUGCUAAACUAAGGUUAAGGACGAUGACCACUUGAGAUCUAUAAAUAGACUUCUUUGUCACAUGUAAAAUACACCAAUUACUUAGCUUAGUUUUUUGCUUUUAAUUUCAGUUUAACUUUUUUCUUUUUUAGGUUUUAAAUUUAUUUUCAAGUUGUUCUUGUUUAUAUUGAAAGAUAUAAUUUGUGAAGACAGUCAAACUUUAUAGAUUCAAUUUAUUCUUAAUACAAAUCAGGCGCUUUCUUAAACUCUACACUUCAAUUCAUUUAUCAUGUUUUCUUUUUACAUCAAUUUUAUAUUGUUUAUGAAAACCAUGAGGAACUAAUCCUUCUAUGGGGAUUAGCGAGUGGAGGUAUGAUCCAUUAAUAGUUUUGUAGGGUUACUCAAUGAAUCAUCUAUUUGGGAAAGGAAGAACUUAAAACCCUAGGUCAGACAACCCUAGGAAGUAAUCAAUGUGGGAAUUAACCCAAAAUUGGUAUGGCCUAUCCUUGAAUACUUUCACCCCAAAUCAGUCUAGAUUGUGAGGUUGGAAGAUAAGUAGUUCUUGCUGACUCAUUAUUUGAGUGGAAGAUCAAAAGAUCUUGUUGGGAUAGUGACUAGUUGAUUGACGAGGAACCUGAAGCGACAAUUGAUGGGAAAUACUGAAGUGAGCUAAUCACCCAUAAUCAGAUUUGAUUUUUCCUAUUUUUUGAUCUCUUAAAUCUUAUUUCUUUAUGUUAUUUUAUUUUGUUAUUAUAAAAAAAUAUUCAAAACUCUAUUUUAUUUUACCAUCGUACUAUAACUAAAUUAAAGUACUAAUUAGAUCUUUCAGUGUUUAGGUUAAAAUUAAUCUAUCACUCACCUCCUUUGGGUACGAUCCUCGAAGUACUCACCUAAUCCAUUAUAACUAUAUUACAACUGGACCUGUAUACUUGCGGAUACCGCCUCAUAUAUCUAUAUAUUUUGUUGCAAUAUUCACACUUUGGAUGUUAGUACGUCCAGAGGCGGUCAUUAGUAAGAAAAAUGGAAUGUAGACUUUAGCAAUGAGGAUAAACAGCUAAUUUAUGACGAAGAGGGGAGUGAUCCAAUGGUUGUGUCGACAACUAUUCUAGGUUUUGAAGUAAUAAGAAUAUUGGUGGAUAGUGGCAGUGCAAUUGAAGUGUUAACAUGGGAGACUUAUCAGAAAAUAGGGUUAAAAGAGCAGACAUUAAAAAAGGUGAGCCCGUUGUAUGGCUUUAUGAACUACCCUGUUAAGGUAAAGGGUUGUAUUACUUUUUCUGUUACCUUGGUGGUGGUAAGCAUACUUUAACAUAGUAUGUCCAGUUCUUUAUGGUUGAUCACCUCAUGACAUACAACGCUAUUUUUGGACGUCUCAUAAUGAGAAUGACUAAGAUGAUUAUAGCAACUUUCUACAUGAAGAUUAAGUUCCCUACAAGAACAUGGGUAGGGUUCAUGCAGUUUGAUCAGCGAACGUCUAGUUAGUGCCACAUGCUAUCAAUGAAGCAAGCUCACGAACAUGUCUAAUAGGGAUAGAGCUCGUAGUAAGAAGGGCAGGAGAAUCAGGUUUUGGAUUUAGACAGUUUGGAUGUUAGGAAGAAAGAGAUAGUGAAGAAACCAAAAACAACAGAGGCUAUAGAACUUUGCAAUUCUUUUAUGAUGAUGCGGACAAGGUGGUAAGACUUUUUUCGGUGUUAGCAGUAGAGGAAAGAGAAGAUUUAUUUCAUUGUUUAAAGGCAAAUUUUGACAUUUUUGUAUGGUUGACUGCAAACAUGCUGGGGGUGGAUUCUUAAGUAAUUGUUCCUCAAUUAAAUGUUCUUUUUGAGGCUAAGCUAGUUAAAUAGAAGAAAUGAAAGUUCACUGUGCAGGUUAUUAAGGUUGUAAGGUAGGAGGUACAAAAACUCUUAUUAGAUGGAUUCAUUAAUGAGGUCACAUACCCAGACUAGGUCUCAAAUUUGGUGAUGGUGAAAAAAGCUAGCGGUAAAUGGAAAAUGUGAAUUGACUUCAUCAAUCUCAAUAAAGCUUGCCCUAAAGAUAGUUUUCCUUUAUCCUUAAUUGAUAUAUUGGUUGACGCAUCUUCGAGUCAUAGAUUUAUAGGCUUUAUGGAUGCUUUCUCAGGGUAUAAUCAGAUAUAUAUGGCCUAAGAGGAUCAAUACAAGACAACUUUUAUUACUAAAACAGGGUUUAUUUUGUUAUCGUAUCAUGCCCUUUGGCUUGAAGAAUGCAGGUGCGACUUACCAGAGGUUGGUGAAUAGAAUUUUUAGAGAUCAUAUUGGGUGCAACAUGGAAGUUUAUGUUGGAGAUAUGUUAGUAAAAAGUUCUAGCCUUUGCGAGCAUUUUCAAAAUUUUUCUGAGGCGUUCGCUGUAUUACGAGCUCAUAACAUGAAGCUGAAUCUCAAAAAGUGUGUUUUUGGUGUUAAAACUGGUUAAUUUUUAGGUUUCAUGAUUUCAGAGAGAGGUAUAGAGGUUGAAACAGAAAAGAUUUGUGCUAUUUUAGAUAUGCCUCCCCUGAAUAUGAUAAAAAUAUACAACAUUUAACAAAGAGGGUGGUGCGUUUAAUAGAUUUGUUUCUAGAAUGGUUGACAGGUGUUUACCUUUCUUUAAAGCCUUGCGAACUUAUUUUUCUUGGACUGAAGAGUGCUAGAUAGCUUUUGAAAAACUCAAGGUCUACCUCACAUUCUCACCAUUGUUGAUGUCACCUUGCAUAGGAGAAACUCUGUAUGUUUACUUGGUGAUUUCAAAAGAGACGGUUGUAGUUUUUUUAAUUACACUAAGAGGAGUUCACCAGUUCUCAGUUUACUAAGUCAGUAAGGUGUCAGAAAAAAAAAGGAGCAAAGGUAUUCAAAAAUUGAAAAACUUAUUUUUGCUCUAAUUUUUACAGCUCAUAAAUACGUCUCUACUUCCAAGCUUAUCCUAUUGUUGUCAUGACGAGUCAACCCAUAAAGGAUCUAUUGUCCAAAGUUGACACCUCAAGAAGAGCGACAAAGUGGGGUAUUGAGUUGGCCAAAUUUGGUGUGGAGUAUGCUUCAAGAACAACAAUAAAAGGUCAAAUUAUAGUUGACUUUAUAGUGGAAUGUUCGUUUGAGAAAUCCACUAAUCUUACAGUUGAUUCCAUGGAUAGUUAAUGGAAUUAAAUUUGUUUGGUAUUGGUGAUCUUUUGUGAAGACUAAUGACAAUUAUAUGCUUAGUUUACGAUCUUUUGUGAUAAUUUAUAACAAAUACACAUUUUUUUCUAAAAAUUUCUUUUCAUUUGUUGCAUGCAACAUAGUAGUUAGUUCACUGUAAGAGGGUGUAAAUGUGAUGAAUAGCUCAAAAAGCUGGAUAGUUUAUGUUGAUGGCUCUACAAGAAAAAUAGGGUCAGGAGCAGGUGUACUCCUAAUUGACCUUGAUAAAAAUGACUGGCAGUAUGAUCUCCUUUUCGAUUUCCAAACAUCCAACAAUAUUUCGGAGUAUGAAACCCUAAUUUUAGGACUACAAUUAGCUUGCCAACUCGGGGCAAAUGAGUUGAUUGUACAUAUGGAUUUGCAGUUAGUAGCUAAGAAAAUAAGUGGCGAAUAUGAAGUAAAGGAAUAAAAUUUGAAUAAAUAUCAUUCCAUAGCAGCUCAGCUACUAAUAGGGUUUGACAAAGUACAAGUAAGAUAGCUUUCAAGAAAAGAUAACACGCGGGAAGAUGUUUUGUCCAAGUUAGCAUCAUCUGUACUUAUUGAACAAAGAGGAAAAAAUUGUUGGAAUAUAGAGAUGCCCCUAGAUACGCAAAAUUUAGAAUGCAAAGCCGCGAGAUACAACAUUAUUAUACAUAUUUUGAGUAACUAUAGCUUGGUGAAUUAUUCUAAUAUUUGUUAGUUAAGCCUAGUUAGUUAGUGAAUUGUUCCAUUUUUAGUUGAUUGAAAUAAUUUGUUUUAUUGUAUAACUGUUAUGUAUACCCUUUUAGAAGGUUUACUUUAUAGAAAAUGGUAUUCUCAACCAUUGCAGUGAUGAUUGGCACCUUCGAAAGUGAAUUACGUAAUGAGAGAGAUUCAUGAAGGAAUUUGUGGUGACCGUUUAGGUGGUAGGCUUCCCGUGCAAAAAGUUUUUAGACAAAUGUAUUACUGGCCAACAGUGUAGAAGGACACAUAUCACAUUGUUGGCACUUGUGAUUCUUGUCAAAGAUAUGCUUAAGUGCAAUGAUCACUAACAGAGCCUUUACAAAUCAUGUUAGGCUCUUGGCCAUUUGCAACUUGGGGAAUUGAUAUUCUAGGCCCAUUUCUAGUAGUUACAGCACAAAAAAAUUCAUAGUGGUGACUGUAAAUUAUUUCACUAAAUGGAUAGAAGAUGAAGCCUUAGCAACAAUUAUAGAAAAUUAGAUAGAAUCUUUUUUUUUUGGAAAUCUAUCAUGUGCAGAUUUGGCAUCCCUCACCUAACCAUAAUAUAUAAUGGGACGCAAAUUCAAGGAAAAUUUAAAAACUUUUGUAAAGAUUUACAAAUUUUUCUGGCUCAAAGCUCUGUCCUAUAAACAAAUGGUCAGGUAGAGGCCAUGAAUAGAAAAAUUUUAAUAGCUCUGAAAAAGAAAGUUGAUGAUGCCAAAGGUGCUUGGCUAGAGGAACUUCUAGGAAUUUUUUUGGCCCUGCAAACCUCGCCUCACAUAGUAAUUGGAGAGACUAUGUUCUCACUUGUUUAUGAAACAGAGGUUGUAAUUCUUAUUGAAAUAGGUAUCCGCUUAUAUAGAGCUGUUACAUUUUGAUGAAGCUACUAACGAAGAGGUCAUGAGACUCAAUCUUGAUCUCCUUGAUGAAGUUAGAGAAACAACAGAAGUCAGAGCUAUUGCGCAAGCCCAACAUGUGGUCUGCUACUACAAUUCUAAAGUUAGGAAUAAGCAGUUUCAGGUGAGUGAUCUUGUUCUCAGAAAUAUUGAAGCUAGCAUUCCAACAACACAGCAGGGAAAGAUGGCUUCAAGCUGGAAAGGGCCUUACAAGGUGGUAGAGGGGCUUAUAAGUUAGCUAAAAUAGAGGGUCCUAUUUACCAUGAACAUGGAAUACUCGUCACCUCAAGAAAUACCAUGUAUGAACAAAUUCUUUUCUUCAAUAAAGAUAUAUUAUUUACAAAUCCUACUUUUAAAAAAGUUAACUGAUCUAAGAUUGCAACCUAUUUAUCUUUGAGUUAGUUGAUUUAAGAUCACAACUUCUAAACAACUCGAUGACCUACGUUUACAAUUGAUUUUAUAAAGGCUAGCUGAUUUAAGAUCGUAACCUAUUCAUAUUUGAGUUAGCUGAUUUAAGAUCGCAACCUAUUCAUAUUUGAGUUAGCUGAUUUAAGAUCGUAACUCCUAAACAGCUCGAUGACCUACGUUUAUAGCUGAUUAUAUAAAGGUUAGCUAAUUUAAGAUUGCAACCUAUUCAUAUUUGAGUUAGCUGAAUUAAGAUCGCAACUCUAAACAGCUCAAUAACUUACUUUCACUGUUGAUUUUAUAAAUGUUAACUAAUUUAAGAUCACAACCUAUCUAGUGCUGGGUUAAAUGAUUUAAGAUUAUAAUUCUUAAGCAAUUCAUCAACAUACACUUAAUGUAUGGCAAGUCCAAAAUUAUGAAUGGUUUUCUUUAGGAAUAAUCAUCUUAAUAAUUUCCAUAACUUAGUGUAUCUAUAUUAGUAAUAUAACUGCACAACAUAUUAAAACAAGUUCACAAUUAGGCACGCUACUAUGUCAACAAUAAUCAAAUUGAGGUUUUUCAUUCUAAAUUUUAAAAACAAUAAGGAAAAUACAACAAAUUCAUCUAAAUUAUAAAUUACUAAUUGUGUCCAAAGGAUCAGCUAACAUGCCAUCCUCUUCUUGAUCAUGCUCUUCGUGCUUAGAUAUUUGAUCACCAUUCUCGGGAGCGGAGUUGGUACCCAGGGGACCUUUAGGAGCAGAGAUUGCCUAACUAGCUAAGUAAAAAUUGCUUGAGUUUUUCCAUUUUGACACAAAGUCCUCCCAGGCUUCUCUAAAAGGAAAAUGAAUGUUGAAGUCUAGUUGAGCACCAAUGAACUCGGUAAGAGCAUCGAAAUUGACUCUUCAUGUAUCCAAAGGACCAGUGGCUACUAGAGCAUGUAGUAAAAAAAAUUAGCCAUUAAGUCAGGCAAGUACUCCUUUAGGCUCUGCAUAGUCUCUUCUUUAUACUUUUCCAUAGCUUCCUUAUGAUUUUUUGUCAAGUUUGCUACCACAAUCUUAUGUUCUUCAUCUUUUGUCCUUGAGCUAGCUUCCAAUGCCAGUUUAUUAGCUCACUCACCAGCGAUCUCCCCAUUUAGUUUUUGAACCUCUUACACGACAAUGGCAAGACCUUUUUUUAGACUCUCAUUUUAUUCUUGAAACCCCCUAUUUUUCUCAUCCAAUUUGGCAUAGAGUUUGCGUUCUUACAUUAGUGCUUCCAUAGCAGAUUGGUAGGUAUGUUCACUCUCUAUCCUGCUUGCUUCCACCUUGUCCACACCUUCAACAAGUCCCAUACUGGCCAUACUAGCUUCACUUAGAAACACUUGCAAAGAGACCGCUAUUUCUCGUAGAGAAGGAUGCUUGGAACCACUAGAUGACACAUUUGGACAAAAAAGAUUUCUAGUUCCUUCAUGCACGUGAUUAUCUCAUUGUGUGUUCACUUCGGUGGGGUUGAAAGGAAACUUAUUCACAAUAAGGUGCUCGUGCCAUGGAAACAAAAUCCUUACUUCACCACUAGGGAUGUUAAGCUUCAGAGAACCGCUAAGAGAGCCGUGAUUGAUAGUAACCCCAAAUGCUGCAUCAUUUACUGGCCUUGAAGGUGGUAAGGAACUAACAGGAGAGAUUACUAGAGGUAAGCUUAUAGUAGGGACAGUGACAAUAAGAAUAGCAUUGUCAGUUGCUUCACCACAAUCUCCUUUCCUCUUUUGGCGUAACUCUCCCAUAGGACUGCCUUACUCCUCAUUGCUUAAAAUAAUCUUCGAAGUGCUCACAUUUUUUUCUAUUUCUUUCCACUGCCUUUACCAAUACCCUUACCAGAAUGACCCCUUCGCACACUUUACAUAUAAGCACGCACGUCCAUGUACUUGUAAAUUUCCUUGGACAGGCUAAUGGAUUCUUCAGAACUAUAUUCGAUACCUUGGGUUGUGCCUGCACCACCAACAAUUUGUAUGUUAGUACCAGUAGUUAGCAUAAGGGGGUUCGCAUCACACUCAAUAUUUGAUAGAGGUUGCAAAGAUCAUGAACGAGUCUUUAAUUGAUAAAAAGUAUACAAAAAUUUCCCAGGCUCAUCUUUUGUCCCUUGCAAUGGGUUCGCAUCACACUUAAUAUUUGAUAGAGGUUGCAAAGAUCAUGAACGAGUCUUCAAUUGACAAAAAGUAUACAAAAGUUUCCCAGGCUCAUCUUUUGUCCCCUACAAUGUAAGAGCCAACUUAUUAGUUGCUACGUUUGGCCAUGAGAAAUGUGCAGGAACAAGGGCAAUGGUAUCUGCCCCAGCAUCCGCAUCAGCUUGCCUCCAUCCAUUAGAACUCAAACUCAAUAGGCAAUACCAGAAGAUAUUUCUCUCGGUCAAUAUCUACUCUAAAUCUAGCAUGCUACCCUGCCGAAGCCUAUAAUGUUACCCCUAGCCUUUCUCUGUUAUUAUGUCUCGCCUAUUCUUGCAUAUAUUAUUAUUUGGUGGUGACCACUAAGUGGGGAAAUCGAAACCACUGUUGAGCUUGUAUUUAACUCAUAUAUAUUUACACAAAUUAAGACGAAGGUUGGUACACUUAUUAGAGAUGAUGGAUUUCACAUUCUUGCGAGGAGUGAAGUAAUAAAGACUUAUUGAGCCCCCUCGAUUAUGAGCCUUUAAUAGAUAUAAAAACUCUGAAACACGACGAGUAGUGGUACUUCGUUGCGUUGGCUAGCCUUCAUGAAAUACGCUAUGGCUAGCCACCAAGAAAAGCCAAAUAGUUGACUGGAAGCUAUCCUUUAGUCAUCAAGGAGAUGACAAAAGAAAGGAUAGAGGGGUAAAUCGAACCUCGCUUCAAGUACGUGUAGAGAAAGCAAGAAACUGUUGUUGCUGGUAUCGUUCAAGCGAUGUGCCCAUUUGAGAAUUGAGAAAUCAUACUCGAAAUUCAGAGUUUGAAUCCCUCGCACAGCUAAAGUUCGAUUAAUCUCUUCCAGUUUUAUCAUAGAAACAUACACUUAAGCUUCUACGAAAUUCCUAACUCCUUCGUAUCGAGAAGGGUUCUCUGAGAUAGCACAACCAUUGCCUCUGUUCUCGCCAUGAUUUACCAACGAAAGUAGAAAUAAAAUUUAGAAAGUGAAAGAAAUUUUAAAAGAUUACCUCUGAAAUUUUGCUUCUUGCCCAUUACUUUUCUUCGAAGCUUUUGAAUCAAAAUACUAUGAUUUCUAAUACUCUAUUAACCUCUUUUAAAAGGGUUUCCUCGCAGGUUUAAACGGUUCAAGUAUCUAGGGGUAAAAGCAUAAAUUACAAACAAUUGUAUCCUCUCCUACAGGUGAUGAACCUCAUGACGUUCGAUGAAGCAUAAAAUGUGCUCGGUAACUUUUAUUUAUAUCAACCAGAGUCACUUUAUGACGCUCCCUUUUAACCAGAUGGGGGACAAAUUGUUAGGAUAGUUACCACCAUCAGUCCAAAACCAUAAGGUUGCAGACUGAGCUCACAUGAUGGGAUUGCAGAUUGAGCUCAUACGCAAAGCUCGCUUGUCGAGCCUACUCUCUUACGAAGUUAUACAUGCAUGAGAACGUGUAAAACAUGUUAAAUCUAAAGUAGGGUAUGUGUCUGUAUGCAUGAAUCCUACUUAGCAUAUGAUCUCAAUUAUUGAAGACAUCAACAUCCAGAUUACUCCAAAAAAAAUGUAUUUUUAUAAUACAAAAUAUUAUAAUUUCAAAAAUUUAAAAUUAAAAAUUAAAAAUACUGAAUUUAAAACUACAAUUUAACCUCAUAAAAAAUUAGCUAACAAAAGGACUUAUAAUAUAGUAAAUACUCAAUCAAAACAUUUUAAAAGUUUAGGUACCGAUUUCAAAAGUAUGCCAUGAAAGAAACUAUGAUUGGGUAUGGCAACUAUCAAGAGGAAAGAGACAUUUAAUUCACUUGCAUCCUCAAAAACAAAAGAUAAAGUUAUUAAGAAACAUGCACGAGAAUCCAUUCCCAGUUUGCUGUCAAGAACUGUGUCUCCGCUCCUUGCCCCCUCCUCUCCAACAGACCAGUCAAUUAGUUGGAAUUGUUUCCAAGUUGAUAGAGCAAGAGUGCCUCUUAUGAGGCAGUGGUUCAAACCCUUUCAAGCAUACGACGCUUACAGUCUGAUUUGAUAAACAUAUUUUACUUGAUGAAAAGUCACUGUCCAAAUAAAAGUUUACCAUUUAAUUUUUGGAAGACUCAUAAGUGAAUAUAUCUUGAACAUUGAGUGAUAGAGGGGAAUUUAGGAAAUCUUUUAGGCGAUGCAGAAAUUAAAUUAUAAUUUUUUUGAUAGUAAAAAUACUAUUUCACCGUUUGAAUAUCCUAUAUUUUUAUAAUUUCUAAAAAAUAAAUUAAAUUUUUAUCAUUUUUAAAAGUAUCAUAAUUUAAAAAAUUUAAAGCAGUAAAUGAAAAAUCUUCUAGCUACCGUUUCCUUAGAUACACCUUGCUAAGGGAAUCACGUAAAUUCUAAAACAUAAAGUCCGUUUAAAUUUGAUUACCUUUUUAAAUUAUUUUUGACAUUUUGUUUCGGUAAGUUGGGUAUUAAUAGACAAAUUUGUUGUUUUGGCAUCACCCAAAAAUCAAAUUGAAUUAUUAGUAUUAAACAACACUUGAAAUGUAAACAUACAUAGGCAUCCUUUCUCAGUUUUUGCAGUCAAGAAUUGUGUCUCAAUCUCCCUAUGGCCACCACUACUUCGACUGGUUCUCUACUGUCACAACCAUCUUUUACUCACCCACCACUACCACGGAAGCUAGCAUCCGUUAAAGCACUAUCCGAAUCGCCUGAACUUUCUUCCAUCCCUUCCAUUUACACCUUCCCGAAACAACCCAACCACGAACCAGUUUCAAACACGAAAGAACCAAUCCCCACCAUCGAUUUCUCCCUUCUCACCUCUAGUAAUCUCAAUGAAUGGUCUAAAAUUAUCCGAGAACUUGGAAAAGCCUACCGGGACUGGGGCUUCUUCAUGGUACAAUACAUAUAUACAUAUAUAUAUAGUUAUGGUUUUCAAAGAAUUUUAGAUUUUUGAUAAAGUGAACAUUAUCAGGUGACCAAUAAUGGGGUGCCGGAGAGGAUGAUGAAGGCAAUGAUAGAGGUUUGUAGGGAAUUUUUCGAGCUAACAGAGGAAGAAAAUGGAGAAUGUGAAGGGAAACAUGUAUUGGAUCCUAUAAGAUAUAAGACCAAUUUCAACCCAUCAUUGGAGAAAAUUUUGUAUUGGAGAGAUUAUCUUAAGAUUUUUCAGCAUCCUUCAUUUCACUUACCCAUCAAUCCUCCUUCCUUCAGGUUUUUUCUUUUUAUACCAUUAUAUCGGUUUCAGAAAACAAAUUACAUAGCAUUAUUUAAUGAAAUAUUAAAGAUAACAUAUCCAUAUUUUUUCUAAUACAGUAUUAAGAGUGAAAAUGUGUAACACUUCAGACCCGGCCUAGACGUUAUGGCCAAAUCAGGACGUGUCAUAAAGGAUGAGUUUGAAAGCAAACUUAAUAUAAUAAAACCAUUUACGUUUCCAACUCUUACUUGCUUGUAUCCUAGGUCAAAACGUUAUUCAAUUAAUUAAUCUGCCUUUAAACGGGUUUUUACAGCAGAAGCUUUCAAAAACCAUUCUAUUUCAGAAAUUUAGUUUGCCUUUUUAGAAAAACCUUUAUUUGCGUAAAACCGUCAUUUUUGUAAAAUAUUUUACUGAAGCAAUCAAACUAUCAAAUAACUCAAAAUCAACAGUUUAAAACCAAAAAGUACAAAGAGUCCCAAAUAUUACAAACUCUCAAAAUAAAUACCAAAAUAUAAAUAAAACCAUAAAUUACUAAGUUUAAUCAAUUUACGGUCAAGUGGUCACCGUAGAGCAUCUGCCGCACCGAUCCGCCUAAGUUUGUGGAUUACAUGACAAACAGACCCAGAUGUGAGUUUACGAAAACUCAAUGUGUAACCCAAUAGAAUUAAGCAUACAAACAUAUAGAAUAAUAUGCAUAGUCAGAUACAAAUAUAAGUGAUUCAGAUAGGCAGAAUCCUACCCCCAUCCUCUACACACCAACUCCGUCUAUCCCAUCACAUCAUGUGGGGUUAAAAACACUCAUCCAUCCCUACACACCACAUUGUGCCAUUAAGACACAUAAUAGAUAAUAUGCAGCCAAGCUGCCAAAAUAAAUUCGAUUAAUGCUGAAUAGAAUACUUCCUCCUCAUAUACAAAUCCCAGCCAAUAACAGAUACAUAUAUUCAGAUACAGAUAUAACAACUUAAACAUGCUUAUCAUGCUUUAUACAAAUAAAAAAUAUACAUACAUCAGUAUAGUCAGGCAUACAUUUAGUAUCCUACUCCGAUCAGUCUAACAAAAUAUCAUAACAUGCAAAUCAGGGUUUAAUUGACCUUUACUGACCCUGCAGUAGGUCCACAGUCGAUCGGAGCGACCCAAGCGACCCUAGGGAAUUUUUAAGAAUUAUGGGCCCACAUGCCCGUGUGGCCUACAUGCCUAGAUUGACCUUUGCCCGUGUGGCCCACACGGCCUAGCCCAAAAUCUACACGCUCGUGUGACAUUCCUGUGGGCCCAAACGCCCCACUUUGCCUAUCCCAUGUGGCCCACACGGUCGUAUCCUGCGAAUGGCCUAGCCUUCAUCAUUCACAUGGUCGUGUCUCACACACGGCCAUUCACACGGGCACCACACGCCUAUGUGGCGUCAAUAGUAAAGUUUUUCGACUUUCACCGAAGCUUGAUUUUUAGUAUUCCGGUUAUACACCUGGUAUCAAUUUGAUGCUACAACAAACACGAACCCUCCAGAACCUAAAGAUUGAGAUACCAACGCUUAAAAUUAGACUUAACACACGAUUAAAACUGUAACCAUGAAGUCGACAACAAUUCAAAAUAAGAGUUCAUCACUUACCCCAACACCUCGAAUGAUUUUUGGACUACGAUUCCGCAAGAGGUGAGUCACAAACUUCUCAAUUCACUGCUGCCAAACACAGGUUCAACAUCAACGAGAAUUCAACAACACCAAAAGAAUUAAACGAAAAUCCCUACUCGGCAAAACAUAGUAUUUAAAUUUUGUUAAAUUUACAAAACCGCAACAAGGAGGCACAAUUUUGUUAAAACGAGGAAGGAAAAGAGGAAAAUUUUACAGAAAAGAAAAAGGGAAAAAACAGAAGUGGAAGGAAAAAGGGACAUUAGAUUUUUCAAGAGAGAUAUUUUUUGGGAAGCAAGUUUUACCCAAACCCCACUACAUCCACAAUCCUAACCACCCACCACUUAGAAUUGUAAUACAUCUGGAAUUCUAACCACCACUUAGAAUUGUAAUACAUCUGGAAUUCUAACACAGGACCAAGCAAAAAUAAUACCCCUGCUAACAAAGGGACUCAAACACAAGAAAACCAAUACAUUCACUCCCCUACCACUCAAACCAACAAGCUCAUUCUAAUAUGGAUUUACAGGCAAUUUAAUAUAAGCCCACUAAUCAAGGAUAAGGCUUGAUCCAAAAAUAACAAAAUUAACAAAGGUGGGACUUGAAACUAAGACCUCACACACAUCCAAAAUACUUAACUACUAAAUCUGAUACACAUUCGUAUUAGAUAUUCAUAGAAGCAAAAAUAUAUUUUUCAGUGCGUUAUAAAAUGGGAGUACACGCUAUUUAAAUUCGUAUUAAAAGAUCCUUCCAUUCAAAUUAAAACAACAAAUCUUUUAUAAUUAUAAACUGUAAUAUCUGGCAUACAACUAUCCUAUAUUAAUUUCAUUGAACUAUUAUGUAAUUUUUUUAUAAUAUUUUACAAAAGAAGUGUACAAAAAUAUGAAAUAAUUUAAUAUAAUUUUAAUUAAUAUAUAUAUACAAUCUGACGAGAAAAAAAUAUAAUAUUAAAGAUAAUAUAAUUAAAUUUCGUAAGUGUGGAUGGAUUCCAUUCAUAAGUUUUUAAAUUUUUAUUUAAAAAUUAUAUUAAAAAUAGAACUCAGACUAAUCCGUAUUUAACAGAAUUGAACCAAAUAGGAAAAUAUAAGUAAUAUAUACAUUAUCGAAACCUUUUUUAUCUUGAAAAACGGGGAUCGAAUUUAAAAGCGAAAAUGGGGUUGCUACCAAUCCUUUUUGUUUAGUUGUGAUCGAAUCACCUUAUAAAACAUUUUGUUCUAUUAAAAUAUUAAUCUUGGCCCAUGAUAUUAAAAACGGGUUCAGGAAUCGGUUACGUACGAGGAAGGAUUAGCACCCUCGUCACAUCCAAGAUUGGUACCAGAUUGAUUAACUAAUGUCCUAAUGUCGAAAAUUUGAAAAGUUUUAAAAUACAAUCCUUUUUAAAGAAUGUUUGAAUAACUCGAGUUGGACUUUAAGACUCACUCGUCCCGAAGGAAUAAAAUACUAUAUACAGUACGUUAGGAUACGAUAUUUUAAGCCCUCAAAAACUGAGACCAUCUCAUGAUUUCCAAAGCAUGCAAUUAAAAGGAUAUUUAGUUAUUUGGUCAAACGAAAAACUGAAACCGAGCAUGUUAGGUCACGAUUUCUCGAAUUUCUAAACACAGAAUAUUGCCUUUAUUUGAAAAAUCCUUUUUUAUGAGCUUGGGUAAAAAAUAAAAAAGAUAAAAUCAAUGUAACAUUUAAAAUAGAAAAUCAGUUAAAACGGGAAAAUGGUCAUACUUGGCGAAUAAUAAUAAUAAUGCAAAUACAAUAAUAAUAACGAAUAACAUAACUUGCAGGUAUAUAAAGACAUAAAUAAAUAAAUGAAUAGGUACAUAAUAGGAUAAUAUAUAAUAAGAUAAUAAUAAUGAGGACAAAAGUAAAAUAAAAAUGAAAUAAAUGAAAUAAUAAUUGAAAUAACAAAGGAAAUUUCAGCGAGAAUUUAAUUUAAAUUGAAAGUGAACAAAUAAAUAUAUGAAUUAGCAAAAUAUUGAGUGAAAUGGUUUUAAAAAAAUAAUGAUAAUAAAAAUAAUAGUAAUAAUAAUACUAAUAAUUCAAUAAUAAUAACGGUAGUGAUAAAAUAAUAAUAAUAGUGGUAAUAAUAAUAAUAAUAACAAUACUAAUAAAAAUAAUAGUAACAACAAUAACAGAAAUAAAAAUACUAAAAAAAUAAUAAAUAUAACAAUAAUAAUAAAUAUAAAACUCAAAUUAAUUAAUUUAAUAAUAAAAUGACUAAAAUAGCCGAAAAGGAACUAAAUUGAGUUGAAAAUAGAAGUUUUGAGGUCAAACCAGAAAUAAAAGAGAGGGGAAUGACCAAAUUAAAACAUGUGUAAAACAGGGAGGGACCAAAAAAACAAAUAUCCCUUCUCCCAAAACGCGCCGUUACUAGGGGGACCAAAUUGAAACUGCAGCAGAACCGUGGGGCAAAUUUAGAAAUAAAAAUAACUUUAAUUGUAAAAUUAUAAAAAAGCGGAGGGGCUAAAUGUGCAAUUAGCCCUCCAUAGAAAACACAAGGAUCCUCAGGUCGGGUCGGGUCGUGCACAUGGGCUAGGCUAAAACGGUGUCGCUUUGGCGCCUACACUUCGGCCCAAAACGGCGCCGUAUUGGGGGGCCUAUAAAUACCAAAUUUUUUUUCAAAAUUUCAUUUUCCUUUCCUCUUUCAAAAAUAUAAAAACCCCUCUCCUCUUUUUCUGCAGGCCUAGAGUCCGACCAGGCCCCAGCGCUAACCACCGUUGUUCGUCGCCGGCCGCCAUCGUCGUUUCCCCUUUCUCCUUUUUUUUGUAUUUUUAAUACGUAAUAUAUGUAAAUAAUUUUAUAAAAUAAAAAACAAUAGUAAUAAAAAGUUUCGAAAAUGAAAAAAGAAAAGAUAAGGGGAAAAAAAACUCAAAGACCUUUGCUCAAUUGUUAGUUUUCUAUUCUUCAUGUGAUUGCUGCUAUUUUUUUUGAGUAAAAUAUGUUUGAAUCUCUUCUUGUAUUAAUUUUUUUUGUAUCCCCUUAUAAAAUCCGUCUAUUGGCUUUUAUAGUUGAUCUUUACAACUUAUUUUUACAUAUUUGCAGGUACGUGAGCGAACAUGCCACUGAUGUGGCGUGGUGGAGCGGCGCACAUUGUGGAGGAGUGGUGCGCAACGUGUAGCACUUGGAGGCUGACUUGGUUGCAGCAGCUUUUUUUUCCUUUGUUGGGCUUUGGGCUGUUAGGGUUUGCUUGGGUAGUGUUUUUUAUUUUGGACUUUCAUUUGCUUGUAUUUGGUUUUGGUUUUUUAGUGGUUUGGGCUGGACAAUUUUGGCCUAUUAUAACUGCCCUUCUUUGCUCGUUAUCGUGUAACGAGAAUGGAGCAAAGACUUUAAAAGGGCCAAAUUUUCCUGGUCCUGCCGAGUCUUGACUUCUCUUGGCCUCUUUUCUUCAGGUAGCCUCGCUCUAGCCUACUACAUCUUCAGGGGUAUAGGGAUUUGGUGCUUCGAUACGCUCCAAUGUAAUUUCAAGGGGAAGAGAUUUGUAGCUUCGAUCUACUCUACUAAAACCUCAUGGAGAUAAAAAUUGGUAAUUUCAAGCUGCUCCACUGCAACUUCAGGGAGAUAAGGAUUGUGGCUUUAGUCUGCUCCACUGCAACUUCAAGGAGAUAAGACUAGAGACUUUAACCUGCUCCACUGCAACAUCAAGUAGAUAAGGUUUGUUUUGAUCUACCCUACUGUAACUUUAGAGAGAUGAGAUCUGUAAUUUAGCUUCAAUCUGUUCCACUGCAACUUCAGGGAAGUAAGAUUUGCUAUCUUCAGCCUGCUUCACUAUAAUUCCAGGGAGAUAAGACUUGUAUAUUCAACCUGCUCCACUGCAACUCAAAGAGAUAAGGCUAGUGGCUUAAAUCUGCUUCCUUGCUACCUCGGGAAGAUAAGAUUCAUCGUCUUUGAUCUACCCCACUACUGCUUAGGGAGAUAAGAUCUGCAAUCUUCAGCCUUCUCCACUGCUGCUUAAGGAGAUAAGGCUAGUGGCCUAAAUCUGCUUCCCUACUACCACGGGAAGAUAAGAUUCACCAUCUUUGAUCUACUCCACUACUAUUUAGGGAGAUAAGAUCUGUGAAUUCACCAAUGUUGCCACACCGUCCUCUGGGGGACAUGUUCAGUAGACUCAGUUUCAUAUGCCUAUUUUUAUGCCAAAUGAUUAGGAUGUUGUGAUCAGAAUGAAUCAGAUGCCCCUAAAAAAUGUGUUAUGAAUGAUAUAAAUGCAGAAAUGUUAUGAGAAUGAUUCCUUUUUAAAUGCUUAAGGUGUCAUCGCUCAUUAUUCAUCAGAGUUUUAUCACUGACAUGUUAAGCUGCCUUCUUGCUAGGCUGGUAUUUUCCGACAGAAAACCCGCAGAAGCAAUCCAUUUUGCUCAACUAGUUCACCCCACUGUAACUCCAGGGUCCAUUUCACUGUCCUCUGGGACCUAAGGUUUGUAACAUCUUCAGACCCUCCAUUGCAAUUUGGGAGUAUAGGAUCUGAAUCUUUUACACCAUUCCCCGGGUGUGAUGAGCAGAUGUGUACACCUGAUAUUUGCAUGAAUGAGGAAUAUCACUUUUUUUUUCUCGAGACUGAUCCCUUUUUAUGCUUGGGUUGCAAUUGCUCAUUUUCGUUAUUGACGCAAUAUCUUGUCUUCUUUUUCAACCGAGAUCUUUGAUUGAAAAUCUAAAGAGAUAAUCUCAGUUUGGAUUUAAAUAGUUUUAACCCUUAAGCUUGGUAAGUUUUAAACAAUAGUCCUAUUUUAGGUUCUUGUACUCUUUAGAAACUUCUAACUCCUUUUGUGAAAGUGAUUAAUCAAUAUUUCAAUACGAAAUGCUUAAAAAAUAUUAUAAAGAUGGAUAAAACUGAAAUUUAUUAGGAACAAAAUCUGAAAAGAAUGGAUUAAUUAAAGAAAGCAAACAUUGCCGGAAUACAAAAAUAAGUAAAGGAAAAAGAAAGAAUCAGUGCCCCAGAUAUCGCAGCUUGAGCUUCUCCGUACGAACUCUUCGAGGUCCAUUUUGAGCUUAUCAUGUGUCUAGGAGAUCUAGAGUACUUUGUCGAUGCCCCAAGACGUAGCAUACUUCCUUUUCAUUAAUUCGAGCAUGGCAAGACUACCAUGUGCCUCAUCUUCUAUCGAAAUUUGAAUUGCCCUUUUUGGGUUUUCGAUUUAAAACCCCAUUUAGUCUCAAGGGGCCCUUUGUGAGUUUUCACCUCGGCCUCUCUCUUUUUUUAAAAAAAAGGGCCAUUUGCGGGUUUUCACCCUAGCCUCUCCUUUUAAGUGAAGUACCUUUUAACUGAAUCUAAAUUUACUGGGUUAGGUAGGCUCUUACCAUCCAUCUCAUUUAAUAUCAAUGCUUCUCUAGAAAAAGCCUUCUUUACCACAUAAGGUCCUUCCCAGUUUGGCAUCCAUUUCCCUCUGAAAUCUUUUUGCAUAGGGAGGAUCUUUUUUAGUACCAAGUCCCCCUCAUGGAAACUCUAGGGUGAACCUUUUUGUUGUAACUCGCAUCAUUCGCUUCUAGUAAAUUUGACCAUGACGGAUAGCCUUUAGCCUCUUUUCUUCAAUCAAGUUCAGCUAAUCAUACUGGGAUUGGAUCCAAUCUGCUUCGUCCAGCUUCAACUCUGAUAAAACUUGGGGAGAAGGAAUUUCGACUUCAAUGGGAAAAAUUGCCUCUACCCUAUAAACCAAUGAGUAAGGUGUUGCCCCAGUAGAAGUUCUGACAAAUGUUCGAUAGACAUGGAGAGCAAAUGGUAACUUUUCAUGCCAAUCAUUGUAAGUCUCAGUCAUUUUCCCCACGAUCUUUUUGAUAUUUUUAUUGGCCGCCUCAACUGCACCAUUCAUUUUCGGGUGAUAUGGUGAUGAGUUGUGAUGCUUAAUUUUGAACUGACUGUAGACCUCCACUAUUAUGUUGUUAUUCAAAUUUAACGCGUUGUCAAAUAUGAUCCUUUUUGGCAUGUCAUAUCGACAUAUGAUCUCCCUCUUCAAGAACCUGCUGAUCGCCGACUUUGUGACAUUGGCGUAUGAAGCAUCCUCUACCCACUUGGUGAAGUAAUCGAUAACCACAAAGAUGAAUCGAUGUCUGUUAGAAGCCUUUGGCGUAAUCGGCCCAAUGACAUCCAUGCCCCAUGUUGAGAAAGGCCAUGGAGAAGUCAUAACAUGAAGAGGUGAAGGAGGCAAUGGAUCUUGUCUCCAUAAAUUUGUCACUUGUGGCAUUUGUUGGCGUAACUAAUACAAUCUCCGUCCAUCGUAGACCAGUAAUACCCGAAUCUCAUGAUUUGCCUGGCCAUUGUGAACCCAUUGCCAUGUGUCUCGCAGAUACCUUCAUGGACUUCUUCCAAGAUUUACUUAGCUUCAACAGUGUCAACACAUCUUAGCAGCACCUAGUCCUUCCUCUUUUUAUACAGGAUCUCUCUAUCUAAGACAUAGUCACUGGCCAGCCUCUUCAACGUUCUCUUAUCAUUUUCAAUUGCCUGAUCAAGGUAUUCACAGUUCUUCACAUAUCGUAGAAUAUCAUGAUACCAAGGAUAAUCAUCUCUCUCCUCUUGUUCGUCGAUAUUGCAGCAAUGAGCUAGGGCCCCACAAAUACUUAUCUAGAUCAGCUUUAUAUCCUCUCAUUUAUUUACUCUGAUCAUAGAAGCUAAUGUAGCCAAGGCAUCAGCCAUCUAGUUUUCAUCUCACGGGAGGUAACAGAAAGUGAUAUCAUCAAACACCUCAAUUAAUUCCAGAACUAGCUUUCGAUAGUUGAUCACCUUUAGGUCUCUUGUUUCCCAUUCACCUUUGAACUGAUAGAUCACCAGUGCAAAAUCCCCAUAUACCUUUAGCACCUUGAUUUUGUGCUCUAUGGCUACACGGAUUCCCAUGAUACAUGCUUCGUACUCUACCAUAUUGUUUGUGCAAUCAAAAUCCAAAUUGUAAGUGAAUCGACAAUGAUCUCUAUUUGGGGAUAUCAAGAUUGCCCUAAUUCUUUUGCCGACAGCAUUUGACACUCCGUCAAAGUUCAAUUUACAAAGACGAUCCUCUGGAAUGCCCUCUUCCUUAGUUGCCACAUACACUAGAUCUUUGUCAGGGAAAUCAAAGUUCAAAGACUCAUAAUAUUUUAGAGCUCUACUGGCUAGAAAAUAUGAUAUUGCACUCCCUUUCACAGCCUUCUGGUUCACAUAGACUAUGUCAAAUUCGGAAACGAAAAUAUUGCCAUCGGGCCAUCCUUCCACUUAAAGCAGUUGACUCCAUCAUGUACUUUAGAGGGUCCAGUUUUGAGAUUAACCAAGUCGUAUGGUACAAUAUGUACUGCUUCAAUCUCCGAGUUUUCCAAACCAAGGCGCAACAUAAUUUCUCAAUUGGCGAGUAUCUCAUUUCACACUUAGUGAAUUUCUUAUUAAGGUAAAAUAUCGCAUUUUCUUUCUUUCCCGUCUCAUCAUAUUGGCUGAGCACACAUCCCAUUGAAUUGUUAAAUACUGUCAAAUACAGUAUCAGUGGCCUACCAGGACUAGGUGGCGUUAGUACUGGAGGAUUGGAUAAAUAUUGCUUAACCUUGUCAAAGGUUUUCUAGCACUCAUCAUCCCACGCACUUGGGUUGCAUUUCUUGAGAAGACGAAAUAUGAGGUCACAUUUUUCAGUUAGUUGUGAAAUAAACCGGGCAAUGUAAUUUAGUCUUCCCAGGAAACCUCGAACUUCCUUCUAAGUGAGUGGCGAAGGAUAUUUUUGUAUAACCUUGACUUUUAUGGGGUCGAUCUCAAUUCUCUUUUUGCUGACUACGAAACCAAGCAACUUUCUUAACCUAGCCCCUAAAGUACAUUUUGUUGGAUUGAGCUUUAGCUGAAACUUUCUUAGCCUCAAGAAUAAUUUCCUUAAAACCUAUACAUGCUCCUUUUCUGUUCAGGAUUUUAUGAUCAUAUCAUCGAUGUAAACCUUGAUUUCCUUGGGCAUCAUGUCGUGAAACAAGUUACCAUAGCUCUUUGAUACGUUUCUCUCACAUUUUUUAACCCGAACGGCAUCACCUUAUAGCAAAAUGUUCCCCACAGGGUUAUGAAUGUAUUCUUUUCCAUGUCUUCAGGAUGUAUCUUUAUCUGAUUGUAUCCAGAGAAACCAUCUAUGAAGGAGAAAAAUGAGUAACCUGUUGUGUUAUCCACCAAAGUGUCUAUGUCAAGUAGUGGGAAGUUGUCCUUUGGGCUGGCCUUAUUUAAGUCCCUGUAAUCUACACACAUCCGUACUUUUCCAUAUUUCUUAGGGACGGGGACAACGUUGGCUACCCAUUCUGAGUAAUUAACCACUUGUAAGAAACUAGCAUCAAAUUGUUUCUUGACUUCUUCCAUUAUUUUUACUGCAACAUCGGGUCUCAUCCUUCGGAGCUUCUGUUGAACUGGCUAGCACUUUUCUUUUAUAGGGACGCGAUGCACCGCAAUAUUAGCACUUAACCUAGGCAUGUCUUAAUACGACCAUACGAAGAUAUCUUUGAACUCUUACAGUAGUUUAAUGAGGUCCUGCCUUGUUUCCUCAGUUCUGUAAGUUACAAUUUUCACCUCUUUCCCUUCUUCCAAAGUCACAUUCUCAAUUGUCUCUUUAUGGGGUAAAAUCUGUUUCUCUUCCCGUUCUACCAUUCUUAACAAAUCCGGAGAUAAUUCACAGUCUUCAUCAUCUUCAAAAUCCUAAGAUCCCUCUAAGCACAUAUCUUGCUCAAAAGGAGAUUCUAGGUCCGUAGCAGCGUCGCUCGUGUUGUUGAUAUCUGGAGACCUAUUGUAGGCACGAAAGAAUAUCCAAAGAAUGAAUCUAGGAGUGGCUUAUUUGUAUGGCAUGAUUAUGAAUGAAAUAAAAGAAUAAAAGAAUAUUUUUCUAGAAUGAGACAUAAAAGUACAUUUUUUAUUAAAAAUAAAAACUUUUGAACAUGAGCCUAUUUCACAAAAAAUUCUUAUUAUUUUUAGGCUUAAAACAACAAGUGUGUUUUGAACAUUACUCUGUAUUAGCUCUAGGAACUACAGGAAUUUCUUCCACAGUCCAGUUAUUCAAAACAUUUCCAGGCUCAAAAAGGCGAAUGCCCGAUAAGUUUUCUUCCAUCACUCAUUCUUCAAAUAUGACGUUGAUGCUCAAAUUUUCCAUCAUAUCUUCAUCCAUUCCUUCUCUUAUCAUCUUUGGUUCAGGAUGGAAUUAUCCUCCUAACACGAAUGUUCUGGAUAUAUGAGGGAAGGUCGUCGGCUUCCAUCUGACCUCUGCCCCAUUUAAUCUUGCUCUUCGUCUCUCUUGCUUCCUUUCCAACUCCUUUCUCCUUUGCUUUGCAUCUGGCCAAUACCCUAAGCCAAAGCAAUCUCGUUUGUCAGUCAAGAUUGACACUUCAACCCGUCCAGGGAGAUAUUUCCCAAGUCCCCUUCCAGGUAAUACCCUUUUUUCAACUGUUAGUCUGUUAGUUGCAAGCUCAUCCUUGUAGCUUCGGAUAUUUUUUGCAUUGGGACCUUGCCUCCUUUGAUGAUGAAAGUUGUAUUUACAAAUUCUAAUGACCGAAAGGAACACUCUAUUGCCUCACUAUCAUUUUCUAUAUAUGGCGUAUCACGGGUAACGGAUGCGAUAAUGUCCUCAUCUGCAUUUAUCGUUAUCAGCCGACCCUCCGUCACCAACUUUAGCUUUUGGUGUAAUGAUGAUGGUACUGCCCCUGCUAAGUGAAUCCAAGGCCUCCCUAAUAAACAAUUAUAAGAAGGCUUGAUAUCUAUCACUAGGAAGUCUACCUCGUAUGUGUUUGGUCCGAUCAAAAGAGGUACCUUAAUCCUUCCUAUUACUUUCCUUUCGGUGCCGUCGAAUGCCCUCACUAUGUUCUAGCAUGUCUUUAUAUGAGAGUUGUCUAUAGACAACCUGUUCAAUGUGGACAGAGGCAAGACGUUCAAUACCGAUCCAUUGUCAAUUAGUACCCUUAGUAAUGUAUACCCUCUACAACGGAUGGUAAUGUGCAGAGCCUUGGUGGACCCCAUACCCCCUAGUGGUAUUUCAUCGUCACUAAAAGAGAUAAAUUUGUCGGUGCUUAUGUUGCUGACAAGGCGGUCUAGCUUGUUUACCGAAAUGUCAUCAGUGACAUAGGUUUCGUUCAACACAUUCAUCUACGCAUUACGGUGUACCUCUGAAUUUAAGAGCAAAGUUAGUACCGAUAUGCGUGCCAACUACUUGUGUAAUUGUUCCACAACACUAUACUCACUGUGUUUUAAGAAUUUCAAAAACUCCUUGGCUUCAUUCUCCAUUACUGGUUCAUUAACCAAUGAUUUUGACAUUUCUCCCCCUUGUUUGAUCAUCAAAGAUUUCCUUCUUACAGGUUCAGCUUUUGUGUUUAGCGUGAUGUCCGGACUUUCCUCUCCUGGGACUAUCACAUUGCAGUUAUAAUUCCAGGGUACGUUUUUGCUAUCCUUAUAAGGAAAAGUCACGGGUUUCUGAAUUACAACUCUUGGUGCCAUUUUUGCUCCGGCUUCAUUGAUUCUUGGUUGUAAGAUGACUACCACUAGGUGAUUAACCUCAGAUACCUUCUCUAUCGACCCUCCAAGGUGCAUUCAUCUUCUCUUUCGAUAAAUUCAUAAAACUCCAGCUCUUUCUUGUCCAUUAGACCUUGCACCAGGGCUCUGAAUUCAUUGCAUCUUUCAAAUUCGUGAUCUUCCUUAUUGUGGAACUCACAAUAAUUCCUUGCAUCUCAGAAUCUGCUCCUUAAGUCUGGCGUGAUUAACCCUCUUUCCACCAUUUUCCUCCAAACAUCUCUUAACGGGGUUCUUACUUCUGCAAUAUUCAACUUGAUUCUUCUCUCCAUAUUCUCUACUAUCGUAUUUACCCUAUUAUCAGUAUGAUUAGGUAACGAAUUUCCUACACCAGGUGCAUCAUCAAAUUUCACAACACCCAUUUUGAUGAGCCUUUCGACUAACCUUUUGAAAAAGGUGCAGUUCUCUAUUGAGUGUCUCGUGAUUCUCGCAUAAUAUUCACAUUGAGCACUUGCGUCGUACCACUUGGUGUUUGGGGGUUCCAUCUAUUUUAAGUAGAAAGGGGAUACAACGUGUACAUCAAACAGACUUUUGUACAGCUCUUGAUACGGUAUUGGAAUGGGAGUAAACUGGAGCUUCUCCGUGUUUUGCUUUGUAUUGGGCUCUUAUCUUGGAGAGGUUUGCUGGCCCGUGGCUACCGUUCUCUGUUGGUUUACCGUGAUUGGUUUUGCAUAACCCAUGCUCACAUUUCUGACUUCAUUUUCUCUUUUCUUUAGGGCCGACCUCUUGAUGCUUUCCUUAGCCUCUAUCUUUCCACUCCUUAUCGUAUUCUCUAUCAUUUCACCGGACAUCACUAUGUCCGCGAAACUCUUAGUUGCGCUUCCCAGCAUGUGAUUAAUAACAGGUGCUUUCAAGGUAUUAAUAAAGAGCAUGGUUGUUUCUUUUUCCAACAAUGGCAGUUGGACUUAUGUAGCGACUUCCAUCCACCUCUGAGCGUAUUGCCUGAAACUUUCACUCGAAUUUUUCUCUAUGUUCUGUAACAUGAUCCUGUCAGGUACUAUGUCCGUCACAUGGCCAUAUUGCUUCAUGAAGGCCUGUGCUAAGUCCUUCCAUGAUUUAACUUGGGUACGAUUCAGCUGAUUGUACCAUUUGGCUGCAGCCCUAGUCAAAUUGUCCUAAAAAUAGUGAAUUAACAACUGAUCGUUGUUGACAUACCCGUCAUCCUCUGAUAGAACAUUGUAAUGUGGGUAUCAGGACAGCUAGUCCUAUUAUAUUUUUUAAACUCCGCUAUUUUGAACUUUGGAGGGAGUACCAAAUCUGGGACCAGGCUCAACUCCUUAGCAUCCACUCCACAAUGAUAAUCAGCGCUUCCCAACACCUUGAAUUUCUCCUCUAGCCAUUUGUAUCGGUCUUCCAGUUACUUUGGGAGUUCUACCUUAGCCUUCCCGCUUCCGCUAUAUCAUCGAGGUCAGGGACUACAGGAUUUGCCUGAUUGUCUUCGGGGUUGGAACUCGAGUCUGUUGGGAAAUUUAUCAAUACCGAAGUACCAGUCUGACAUUGGGGUCUGAUAUUGACAAACAUCCUUUGUGGUGGUGUUUGGGAAUUUGUUGGAGUGAAACUUGGAGGGUAAGCAGGGUCCUCGCUAUCGUCCCCAGUAUUAAUCAUGGGGCUCUUCACUUUUUCUAGUCUUCCAAUCAGUAACUGUGUCAAUUGGUUCAUCAUAUUUCUUUGUGAUUCUAACAUCUGAUCCUUCAUAUCCUGCUGAAUCUUGGCCAGUUGCUUUUGCAUCUGUAUUUGCAGCCGAUCUUGCGUUUCUUUUUGCGUUUGUUCCAAUUUUUCUAAUCUUUGAUCCAUAGCUUUGGUUUUUCUCUAUGUAUAGUAGUGAUGUUCCAGGGUAGCUAUAAUACCAUUUCUAAUUAAUUAGGGUUCUUUUUGUGAAAUUUAAUGCACAUGAUACGAUGUAAUGCAAAUACAUGAGAUGAAUGCAAAACUAAAAAGGCAUCGGUUUUGAUCCAAUUCCGUUUAGAACAGCUUUAUUAGAAAAUAAAAUCCUUUACAUAAAACAAAUCAUAUAUACGGCUUUGCCCUAAUGCUCAAAGUUUUAACUCUUUUAAUAAGCCAAGCCAGCUUGCAGCCUCGGUCUGACUCUAACUCAUAUUUUCACACUUAGCACGUCAGCCUGAACUACUAAGGUCUGUAAAUGAUCGGCCACCACUUGUAUCUGAGCCACAGCCUCACCCAUAACGUAAUCCCUAUCCCUGACUUGGUCUUACGAUAGACGACCUUGGUUUUCAUUGAAAUAGGAGCUAGAAGAAGCCCUUCUCGCUUUCCUAUUGAUGCCGUAGGAAUUCUCCAUUGCUCAUUAUUUAACUCAAGGAAUUCAAUUUGAAGUUAACAGUUCUGUAGCACAGUCUCGAAUUUUUCUACCUUUCCUUUCAAAUCCUCGAUCCUGCUCAGGCUGGCCUUUAAUUCAAUGUCAGAGUUACGACUACGACGCUGAUAUAGUGCCUUUUCUAACUCUGCUACCCGAGCUACUAACAUAUCCUUCUCAUUUUAGCUCUCAACCAAACUCUUUUUUAAAGCGUUUUCUCGUGCUCAAGUAUCAUGGAACCUCUUCUCCCACUAAUCGGCUCUACCCUUUUCUUCUUGGAUUUCUUGUCGCCACUGUUCUAACGUCUUUCCCAAUCUGGUAGUUCUCAUCGACAUACGCAGCUUCUUGUAAUCAGUCUUCAAAUUAUCCAAGGCUUUUUUAGCCUUUCUUUUUCCUUUUCUUAACUUCUCGGCCUCGAGUUUCUGAGUAUCGACAUCUAACCUCAAAUGCAUCUUUUUCUCCUCCAAUUGUUCUAUCUUCUUUUCUAACUCCGAAUUUCUCUCUUCGAAGUUCUGUUUUAUGAUUUCUAGCUUGGAGGGGAUUACUUGCAAGUAUUCUUCCAUGAAUCGAACGCCCUCUAAACUCGGCCUAGGGAUAUUAUCAUUGAUCCUUUUACUCGACCACCCCUUAUACUCAAGAGUCGUCAUUGAACCUGCAGCCAAUCUCUUCAUCCGGCGUGUCUGUUUCUACGCAUCAAAAAUCUCUCGAACAUUCUUCUUAUAAUUGUCCCCCUAUACGAGAACUCACACUGAGCUAGCCCAUGUGUCAUCGGUAUAAACUUCUUUGAUCUAUAUUGUCUUAAUACGAGCAAAGGGGAAUAUCCAACGGCUCCUAAAUUCCAGGCAAAGGUACCCAGUUAAAACUCCUACACCGAUAGAGGAUCUCGUCGGGAACCAUCCAAGGGGCUCUCCACUCAACAUCUUCCUCUUAGAGAUUUUGAAGAAUCGCCAUCCACCUUUCCUUUGAUAUGUCGUCCCUCAUUGGCAUAACUGUUACUUCCUUUAAUGGGGAAGAAUCUUCAGAGAAGACUCGGUAAGAAACUUUGUCAACCUUUCAGGAAUGACCAUGGAACCAAACCAACAAUAAUUGCAUGUAUCCAAUGAAUCUACCUUCACCUGCCCUCUGACAUGCACUCAAAGAUCUAAACAUCUCGACUAGAAUUGUUAGUACCGGUGCGACCUGUUUGUCAAGUCGAUCAAAUAAGUUAGCAACUGCUUCAUCUAUAUACUUUCAGGCUUUGGGGAAAAUUACCAAGCCAUAAAUACUCAAGGCGAAGACGUCAACUUUCUUCUUUAUAUCUAGAUGUGCUACGAUCAAGUUCCUCAAACUCACCCAAGGAAUGCAUUUACCCUUACCUUUUUGUUGGAUUCAAGUUGUAACCCACUGUUCACUCAUCCCGCUGAUACCCAUUAGUUUCUUUACAAAAGUUGGGACAUUAGUGGCCCUAGAAUAAGUUUUGUCGACUUAAACCUUCAGAAAAUGAAGCAGAGCUGUAUACUCCUCCACAGUAGGCACCAAGUCCACCUUCCCAAAAGUGAAACAACUAUAUGCGGGGUUCUAAAACUGAGCCAUAGCCCGAAACAAGUGCUUGUCCACCUUGAUGUCGAGUAGGUAGGGUAGGUCGCCAUAGUUAUGAUAGAACAGCUGCUUAGUCUCAUCAUCCUAACGGGCCCAUAUAUCCCUCAAUUCUUGGAACUCAUGUUGUGUGGCAUUGAUACGGGUGAAGUCCCACAACUCUGACGUAUAUCCCUCAGCUAGGCUAUCCUCUUUCUCAAGUUGUAUCUUCUCUGACCACAUAUAGACAAUCGCAUUAUCCUCCACUUUAUCAAGAAAUUCAUUCUCCAUGAUAAGCUUUCUAAUUUAGUAAUUGAUCAGGAAUUGACACCUCUUUAAUAUGAAAUGACAUGCAAUCAUAGCCACAAUUAAACAUAACGAGUCAGUAUCGAAUAAUAAAAAUCAAAGCAAAUAGAAAAUAGUCAAACACUUAUCUGGGUAACCGCUAAGGUUCAGCACAGCUUUAUCUAGGGCGGCUCUUAGGGUUCACUAUAUGUGGCUCGGUUCUAAAGAAAGGGUACCUGAACCAAUAGAUUCCUCAAUCCUCACCCAUUAUAGGCUCACAUGGAUCGAGUUUAGUUCAGGGGAAUACAUUUCCCUAUGGCCAUGCGGAGGUGAAAACCUCACGAAGACAUAGGUAUGGAUGUAUCCCGGAAGCAGUUCACUAUCCCAUACGGAGGUGAAAACCUCAUGAAGGCAUAGUUUCUCACUCUCACUUUAAAAGGUGUGACUACAACGGUCAUGUAAUAUGAUGUAGGAAUAUCCUACAAGACUCAAACCACAACAAACAUAUGACCUGACACAAACAAAUGCGACAAAAGAGCCAUGAUUUUUCAAAUCAAAUUUUUAAUUUUCGACAAAAAGAAAGAGAAUAAUCAAUUUUAAGACUUGACUCGCUUAUCCGUCCCCAGUAGAGUUGCCAAACUGUCGAAACCUCUUUUAUCUUGAAAAACGGGGAUCGACUUUAAAAACAAAAAUGGAGUCACCGCCAAUCCUUUUUUUAGGUGUGAUCGGAUUACUUCAUGAAACAUUUUGUUUUAUUAAAAUAUUAAUCUUGGCCCAUGAUAUUAAAAAUGGGUUCGGGAGUCGGUUACGUACGAGGAAGGAUUAGCACCCUCGUCACGCCCAAGAUUGGUACCAGAUUGAUUAACUAAUGUCCUAAUGUCGAAAAUUUGAAAGUUUUAAAAUACAAUCCUUUUUAAAGAAUGUUUGAAUAACUCGACUUGGACUUUAUGACUCACUCGUCCCGAAGGAAUAAAAUACUAUAUCCAGUACGUUAGGAUACAACAUUUUAAGCCCUCAAAAACUGAGACCAUCUCAUGAUUUCCAAAGCAUGCAAUUAAAAGGAUAUUUAGUUAUUUUGUCAAACGAAAAACUGAAACCCAGCAUGUUAGGGCACGAUUUCUCGAAUUUCCAAAUACGAAAUAUUGCCUUUAUUUGAAAAAUCUUUUUUUAUGAGCUUGGGUAAAAAAUAAAUAAAAAGGAUAAAAUCAAUGUAACAUUUAAAAUAGAAAAUUAGUUAAAACGCGAAAAUGGUCAUCCUUGGUGAACAAUAAUAAUGCAAAUACAAUAAUAAUAACGAAUAACAUAACUUGCAGGUAUAUAAAGACAUAAAUAAAUAAAUGAAUAGAUACAUAAUAGGAUAAUAUAUAAUAAGAUAAUAAUCAUGAGGACAAAAGUAAAAUAAAAAUGAAAUAAAUAAAAUAAUAAUUGAAAUAACAAAGGAAAUUUCAGCGAGAAUUUAAUUUAAAUUGAAAGUGAACAAAUAAACAUAUGAAUUAGCGUAAUAUUGAGUGAAAUGGUUUUAAAAAAAUAAUGAUAAUAAAAAUAAUAGUAAUAAUAGUACUAAUAAUACUAUAAUAAUAAUGACAGUAGUGAUAAAAUAAUAAUAAUAGUGGUAAUAAUAAUAAUAAUAACAAUACUAAUAAAAAAAUAGUAACAGAAAUAAAAAUACUAAAAAUAAUAAUAAAUAUAACAAUAAUAAUAAAUAUAAAACUCAAAUUAAUUAAAUUAACAAUAAAAUGACCAAAAUAGUCGAAAAGGAACUAAAUUAAGUUGAAAAUAGAAGUUUUGAGGUCAAACCAGAAAUAAAAGAGAGGGGAAGGACUGAAUUGAACACACGCAAAACAGGGAGGGACCAAAAAAAAUAUCCCUUCUCCCAAAACACGCCUUUGCUAGGGGGACCAAAUUAAAACUGCAGCAGAACCGUGGGGCAAAUUUAGAAAAAAAAUAAUUUUAAUUUUAAAAUCAUAAAAAAGUGGAGGGGUUAAAUGUGCAAUUAACCCCUCCAUAGAAAACACGCGGAUCCUCAGGUCGAGUCGAGUCGCGCAUACUGGCUAGGCUAAAAUGGAGUCGUUUAGGCGCCUAAGCUUCGGCCCAAAACGGCGCCGUAUUGGGGGUCCUAUAAAUACCAAUUUUUUUUUGAAAAUCUUAUUUUCCUUUCCUCAUUCAAAAAUACAAAAACCCCUUCUCCCCUUUUCUCUGCAGGCCUAGAGUCCGGCCAAGCCCCAGCGCUGACCACCGCUGUUCGUCGCUGGCCGCCGUGUAGGUAAAAUUUUCCCCUUUCUCUUUUUUUUUUUGGUAUUUUUAAUACGUAAUAUAUGUAAAUAAUUUUAUAAAAUAAAAAACAAUAAUAAUAAAAAGUUUCGAAAAUGAAAAAAGAAAAGAUAAGGGAAAAAAAAACUCGAAGACCUUUGCUCGAUUGUUGGUUUUCUAUUCUUCAGGUGAUUGCUACUAUUUUUUUUUGAGUAAAAUAUGUUUGAAUCUCUUCUUGUAUUGAUUAUUUUUGUCUCCCCUUACAAAUUCCGUAUAUGGGCUUUUAUAGUCGAUCUUUACAACUUAUUUUUACAUAUUUGCAUGUACGUAAGCGAACAUGCCACUGACGUGGCGUGGUGGAGCGACGCACAUCGUGAAAUAGUGGUGCGCAAUAUGCGGCGCCUAGAGGCGACUUGGUUGCGGCGGCUAAAGCACUUAGAACUAGGGUUUUUUGUUUUUGUUUUUUUUUUCUGCUUUGCUGGGCUUUAGGCUGUUAGGGUUUACUUGGGUAGUGUUUUUUAUUUUGGGCUUUCAUUUGCUUGUAUUUGGUUUUGGUUUUUUAGUGGUUUGGGCCAGAAAAUUUUAGCCCAUUACAUACAUAAUUGGAAUAAAUGUUAAGAAAUUUAUUGUACUAGUUUAAGAUAGAGGUGUGCAUGGGCCGGGCCGGACCCAUAAAAAAUUUUGGCCCGUUUUCAAGGCCCAAGCCUGGCUCGACCCAAAAUAUGGGCCUGAAAAUUUAUCCAAGCCCGGCCCGAGAAAAAAAUGGUAGGCCCGAGCCCGGCCCGGUCAUAUUAAAUUUUUUUUUGCUUUUUUAUUAAAUAAAAAACUUUAAAAUAUAAUAAAUCAAAUACAUUUAAAACAUAAAAACAAAUAUUAAAACAAAAAAUAAAUAAAUAAUGGGACUAAAAUAAUUAUUAAAAUAAUACAUAAAUUAAAAAUAUAAUAAAAAGUAAUUAUAUUAAAAUUGAAAAAUUGAAACAAAUUAAAACUAAAUUAAGAAUUAAAUUAUAUUAAUAACAAAAGUUUUACAAUAUCAAAAUAACAUCAAAACAACAAAAAAAAUAAAGUAAAAGUACUAAAGUUAUUUAAAAUUAAAAAUAAAAAUUUUUAAAAUAAUUUAAUAUUAAAAUCGGGCCGGACCGGGCCCGGGCCAAAAAAAUCUUACUCGAGGCCCGGCCCGUUUUCUAAACGGGCCUCGUUUUUUUUCCAAACCCAUUUUUCGGGCCUAUAUUUUUACCCAAACCCUCCCAUUUUUCGGGCGGGCCGCCCGGCCCAUGCACAUCUCUAGUUUAAGAGUAACAUUAAAAAUAAAUAAAGUAGUUUAAUCCUUGUAUUAUUUAAAAGUGAGCGAUUUAAUUAUUGCUACUAUUAAUUGCUCUUGUUUGACUCACUCUCUAAAUAGUAACGUGUCUGAAUUACUUAGUAUUUAUUGGAUAAUAACAUCCAUUAAUUGUAGCCCUUGUUGUCAUACAUUUUGGGUACACAUAUAUCUGAUAGGGAUAUAAUCAAUUCAUCUAAACAUAAGUUUUGUCUUGAUUUUUUUUUUUUUGGCAUAAGAGAAUUUGCAUUAGAAUACAGGAAAAGAACCCGAGGAGUAAUGAAAGAAAUAGUGAGAGGAAUAUCAGAAAGCUAGGGGUUAGAAGACAAAUACAUUAAGAUGGCCUCAAGUCUGGAAAACUGCCUACAGAUUAUGAUAGCAAACUUGUAUCCACCAUGGCCACAGCCAGAACUGACCAUGGGAUUGGCCGCUCACACCGACCAUGGUCUUUUGACCCUCUUCAUCCAAAACGACACCGUGGGGCUUCAAGUGCUACACAAAGACAAAUGGGUCAAUAUCCACCUCAUCCCCAAUUCAUUUCUAGCCAACAUUGGGGACCAUAUUGAGGUACAACUCCCAAAUUCUGCUUUUUUAUCUUCAAGUUUUCGAUUUACUCACACUACUUUAACUUGAUUUAAUUUCAUCUUUCUAUUUUUAUAAUAUAAUUAGUUUAUUAAGUUGUUUAACACCAUCAACUAUUUCGUUUAAAUGUUGAUGUGAAAAUUUCUCACAUCAUUAUGUUAAUAUAGAUUUAUAUAGUAGAAGGACCAAAUCCAUAAUUUGACCUUUCGUUGAAGGAUCAAAUCCAUAAUUUGACCUUUCAUUUUAUAAUUGGUUUUUAUUUUUUUCCAAAAUUGAUCUGAAGUAAAUCGUUAUUUCUGCUAAUUGAUCAGAUAUGAUUUUAAAUUUAUGCAAGAUUCUGAGCAACAGGAAGUAUAAAAGUGUUCUCCAUCGAGCUGUGGUAAAUGAUAGAGAUGUAAGGAUAUCCAUAGCACUGACGCAUGGACCGGCCUCAGACGCCACUGUGAAUCCUACUCCAAUGUUGCUGGAAGAUGGUCAGAACCCAUUGGCAUACCGAGUAAUGAAAUAUAAAGAAUACUUGGAGCUUCAACAAAGCAACAAGCUCGAUGGGAAAUCUUACUUGGAACAUAUACGAAAUAAAGGGAUUUAAUUACUAGUGUAAUAUUUUAUGUUCGAGUCAUUUGGGAUUUAAAACUUUGGCUUUUGAAUUAGAUAGUUACAAUCACUAUAAGUAGAGAAAAAAAAAUGAAUCAAGUUUGAAUAAACGAUCUUUAUUCAUGUUUACUUUGUUCCUUUUUAAAGUGGUUUAUGUUUGGUUUCUCUUCUAUAAUGGAUUGUAUUUGAUUCUUAACCAAAAGCUAAUUGUAAUAACGAAGUAUUUUUUUGACUCAAUUCAAUUUGAUUGAACGCUCACUUUUAUAUUGAUGUGCUAAAAAGAGAAACUAAAUUCUUAAAUUUUAAUGAUACAAUGUUUUUAACACAUUUAACCUAAAGCUAUUAAUGCAUUAGGUGCCAAGUUUUUUUUUUAAAUUUUAUCACGCAUUUUAAAUAGGAAUAGUUUUCAUGCACCACCAGUGAAUAAUAACAUAAUAUGUCAUCAUUGGGCAAAAUAAAAAAAUAAUAGACUUAUAAAUAAAUAAUAACUUUAUUUAAGCAUAAUUAAAUAUUAAUUAUAAGUUUUUUUAAGUUUCGAAUUUCAGGUGUAGAGUUUAUUGUAUAGGAUUUAGG